AUUGAUACGACGAAUACAUUAGCCUGAGCUGUUAGCAUGUGGAGGUAACUAUCAUACCUGGGAGAAAAUGCUGACUCUAUGCAAAAGCCUCCCCCGUGGAUGUAAAAAAGAAGAGGAAAUUUCUGAUUUUUUCGACUGAUUUUGGGCAGGUAAAGUCGUGCUGAUACGUUUUUUUUAGGCAAAAUUGUAACGUCUUUGGAUUGAACUCCUGUUUUGGGAUUGUUUGAUGGAGGGACAAACUUGAUCUCUUGAUACCUAUGAACAGUUCCAUUAGCAUCAACUUUAAAAAAUGGAUACAAAUUGAGGGCUUUUCCUGCAUAGGUUGAAUUCAUACAUAUGCAGAUAGUGAUUAGAAAUAGUAAAGGAGAAUGAGGAUGAGAGGGAAAAUGUGGUGCCAUUAUUGUUGAGUUAUUGUAGGUAGUGAAUAAAUGAAUGGGACUUAAAUUUUAUAGAAGUUUGUGACUCAAAUGAGAGGAGCAACAGCAAGCAUGUGUGUUGGACAUUAAAGCGUGACAGAUUGAGUGCCGACGUGCCGUGAUAGACUCACGAGGUGCUUUCAUUGACCUGCACAAAUUACAAGUUACAUUGUUUAAAAAUCUAUGAUAUCAAUUAGAUUAUGACAUUUUUGUGACUACAUAAAGUAAUUUCCAGGAUAUUCUCUUAUUACCAUUGAUGUCUACGUCCGUCUUAUUGAUACGAAACCUAAAAUUCAAAGUGGUCCUCACAGAAAAAAUUAUUUCUACAUAGUCAUGUCUAAGAAGUUUUUUCCUUCUCUCUUAGACUAUUUUUUCUAUCAUACACAUCAUAUAAUAAAUAGUAUCUCAAUUUUGUUUGCUUCUUUUUUUCCUUUUUCUAUCUUAGACUAUUUGCUUCUUUUUUUCCUUUUUCUAUCUUAGACUAUUCUUUCUUCCCGAUACAUCAUACAUAGUGUCUUUGUUUUUGUCCACUCCCUUAGACUAUUCUUUUUAUCUGACACAUGACUGUGAACUCCAAAUCUGGAGAAAAAAUUGGUAAGCCUUGGGGCAAUAUUUUAUUGCAGCGGUUCUCUUUCAACUACUAAUUAAUCAACGGUUUACGUUAAUUAUUCAACUAGUCUGCUUGAACUCUGAAUGGAAAAGGGAGAAAAAGAGGAAGGAUAAAAAAGUAUGGAAAGGUUUAUAAUCAAGGAGAUUAAAAUCCCUUCAACAGUAUACAAUUCCUAUCACGCCCUUCAUGAAAUAUGAUUGAUGGGGUUGGGAAUAAUUUUUGUUGAAAGUUGCUUUAAGAGUGCAACUAUUUUUUUCUGUUUUCUUCAGUUUUUUUUAAGUACAAUCCUAGUUAAAUUAGGAAGUCCUAUCUUUGAUAAGAAACUAAUUAGUUAUUCUAAUUUAAGUAGAGGUAGAUUGUUUUUUUGUCCUAUUUUUAGUUGGAAUAACAACUAUUUAAGUUGCUAAGUUGAUGAUAAAUUAUAGACUGUCUUUCAACAAGAAAAUAAUUACUCUCUGCAUAUUCUCUUCUUCAAACUCCAUCUCUGUUUCUGCGGCCAGCUUUAAAUUGAAUUCCUGCGUUAUUUCCCUUUAACGGUUUUAAACCAACAAUUGGUAUCAAAGCUUUAAUCUUAAGGGACCUGUGAGUGUGUGCAUCAAUCUGAUCCAGUGGAUACCAUGAACGGAGAAGCAAAUUUUUUUUCAAUGGCACCACCAACUUUCGAUGGAGAAAGUUAUCAAAUUUGGGCAGUUAGAAUGCGGAUAUAUCUGCAAGCUUUGGAUCUCUGGGAAGCUGUUGAAGCUGAAUAUGAGAUAGCUCCCUUGCCGGACAAUCCCACGGUGGCACAGAUUAAAACUCACAAGGAGAAGAAUACUAGGAAAUCAAAGGCAAUGACAUGCUUAUUUAUUGCAGUUUCAUUUAAUAUCUUCACUCGUAUCAUGUCUCUUGAAUCAGCGAAAGAGGUAUGGGAUUAUCUCAAAACUGAGUAUGAAGGAGAUGAAAGGAUUUGAGGGAUACAAGUGUUGAAUCUGGUACGUGAGUUUGAGCUACAAAGGAUAAAAGAAAGUGAAACCAUAAAGGAGUACUCUGACAGACUCCUUAAUUUAGCAAAUCGCAUCAGAUUGUUGGGUUCUACUUUCAAUGAUUCAAGGAUCGUUGAGAAAAUCCUAGUAACGAUACCUGAAAGAUUUGAGGCUACCAUAACAACCUUAGAAAAUACUAAGGACUUGUCCAAGAUAACACUUCCAAAGCUCUUAAGUGCUUUUCAAGCGCAAGAGCAAUGGCGUGUUAUGAGACAAGGAGGAGCUGCCGAAGGUGCCUUACUAGCCAAGCAUCACGAUGAUGGACGUUCUAAGAAGAAGAAGAAUAAGAAGUACCAACCAACUGAUGGAGAAGGUGCAGUGCAAAGCAACAAAAACAAAACAGGUGGUUUCAAAAGAAACUACCUUCCUUGUAAGCAUUGCGGCAAGCUCGGGCAUGCAUCUUUCAAGUGUUGGAAGAGGCCUGAUGCUAAGUGCACUAAGUGCAAUCAGCUUGGGCAUGAAGAGAUUAUCUAUAGAAAUAAAACUCAGCAACAAGAUGCAGAGGCUCGAGUUGUUGAUGAACAAGAAGAGGAUCAACUCUUUGUUGCAUUAUGUUUAGCAAGCAGUGUCUCAAGCGAGUCGUUGCAGAUCGAUAGCGGAUGCAAAAAUCAUAUGACUUACGAUAAAGAUCUUUUUAAAGAUUUGAGCCCUACUAAGGUUACAAAAGUUAGGAUUGGCCAUGGUGGUUAUAUUCCAGCAAAAGGAAUGGGAACCAUCACAAUUGAAACACAAUCGGGCACUAAAACAAUUUUUGAUGUUCUUUACGUACCCGAUUUGGACCAGAACUUGUUAAGUGUUGGUCAGUUAUUAGAAAAAGGUUUCAAAUUGUAUUUCAAAGAUAAACAUUGCUUGAUCAAGGAAACAUCUGGACAAGACCUAUUUAAAGUCCAAAUGAGAGGCAGAAGUUUCUCAUUAAAUCCAUUGGAAGAAGAGCGUGGAUUUCACCAAUCGCGUGUGGAGCUACCUCUGCUAAAAGAAGACAUUCCACCUGAUGAUGAAGGCUGGCUUUGUCCUGGUUGCGAUUGCAAGUUGACUGCAUUGACUUGCUUAAUAAUCUUCAAGGAAAAGACCUUUCCGUCGCUGACAGCUGGGAGAAAGUAUAUCCAAGGACGCUGCUGCUACGUUUGGGGAAAAGCUAGAUGAUAUCUCUGGACUUCCAUCGGAUGACUCGGAGAAUGGCCUGCCUGACAUACCUUGUCCGAAUAAAGUUUUUACUAAGCAUUUAGGUGAAGAAAUUUCUUCGCCUGAGAAUGAUUUGGUGUUGUCGGGAAAUAAUUCUGGUCUUGCUGAGGGAGGGGGAUUAUGCUCUCUUAAUGGAUUCCAGAAUAUGACUCAUUUGGAAUAUGAUUCUGAGUGUAAGCUUUACUUGGAAAGCAAUAUUUCAGUUUAGAGGAAAGAGAUGUCUGAAACUACUAAUGCUGAUAAAUUAUCAGAACUGGAACUUGAGAAUGCUUGUGAUGAGCAGUGUGAGAAUGCUACUUAGUCAGAUGAGCUGCCUUUGCCGAGCAAUUCCCAGUUAGCCCAGGCUGAAUCCUGCCAGAUUUUUGGCAAUAAUUCAGUGGGGGGUUCGACUCUCACAUAGUUUGGAAAUCCUUGUUGCAGAACAUCAGCUGCAUUGCAAGAAAUCCAAAAGACAACAGGUAGUUCAUCAACCAAGGAGAAACUCAAAGUUGGAGGUAUGAGCACCUCUGAAUCUCGUUCAAGUGGUAAAAUAAAGGCAUAUGGAGAAGUCACCACCAAGAGACUUUGCGAAUACUUCAAGGAAAAUAAUUAUCCUGACUGUGACGUAAAGGAGAAGUUCGAGCAAGGUGGUGGUUGGAUAUAAGCAUUACCUGAAGAAGCUGAGAAUAAGAGGAUGCAUCUGAUGACUAUAGUAGAGCUAGUACAGCCUAAAUGGUAUGAGAGGUUGUUAGUUAUUUCCGUGCAGAGAUCGUUUUUCAAUUUUUACUUUGUGCUUUACUUGCUGUUCCCCAAGCUUGCACACAGAGUUGUUGGUCAUCUGGAAGAGGAGGCUAUACACUCAUAUACUUUGUAUCUUAAUGAUAUUGAUCGUGGUGAAAUUGAAAAUAUCCCUACUCCUACGAUAGCAAUUGACUACUGGAGACUGCCUAAGGAUGCGACUCUAAAGGAUGUUGAUAAAGCUUAUCAUAGAGACGUUAACCAUUUCUCAUCUCCAUGGGAGACAUAUCAGGCUAACUUGUCGAUUGAUCUAAGCAAGCACCAUGUGCCUAAGAAAUUCCUUGAUAAGGUUGCUUAUUGGUCAGUGAAACUUCUCAGGAUUCCAACCGAUUUAUUUUUCAAGGAAAGAUACGGUUGUUGUGCAAUGAUGUUGGAAACAGUGGCAGGUGUACCAGGAAUGGUGGGAGGUAUGCUGUUACAUCUGAGGUCGUCACGCAAGUUCGAGCUUCUAAGGCAAAGAAUUGGUGUUUGCAUUUCAUAAAGCAAGGAGGAGUGUUGAAAUUUACUUUAAGAAUGCAACUAUUUUUUUCUGUUUUCUCCAGUUUUUUUAAGUACAAUCCUAGUUAAAUUAGGAAGUCCUAUCUUUGGUAGGAAACUAAUUAGUUAUUCUAAUUUUAGUAGAGGUAGGUUGUUUCUUUGUCCUAUUUUUAGUUGGAAUAUCAACUAUUUAAGUUGCUAAGUUGAUGAUCAAUUAUAGACUGUCUUUCAACAAGAAAAUAAUUACUCUCUGCAUAUUCUCUUCUUUAAACUCCAUCUCUGUUUCUGCGGCCAGCUUUAAAUUGAAUUCCUACGUUAUUUCCCUUUAAUGGUUUUAAACCAACAAUUUUCCCUCUAAUCCCAAGUUAAUAUAUUUUUGAGUAUUGUCAAUAAUCAAGAUCUACAUUGUCAAGCUUACGAAGAUAAAACAUUCAAUAUCAUAUAAGAUUGCAAACAUGUGCGUGGAGCCUGGAAGUAAAUGAAGUUAUUAGUUAUAUACUAGAGGGAAGCAACUUAUGAAAGAUAUUGAGAAAUUUAUAUAAUUUUUGCAAUGUAACCAAAAUAUUUAAAUAUUUGAAGAAUCUAUGUCUAAAUUCAGUGUCUUGACCUUUAUACUCCAAACUCCACAAAUAUUGGAACAGAUGGAGUAAUUAACAUGAUAAUCUUGAUAUUUGUGUUGGUUGUGCUUCCUUUGCGUUGAUUCUAGAAUUCCAAUAUGUAUCAUGGAGGAUUCCACCAGUAUAUAUGUGCAUCUAAUGAAGUUUUUUUGUCACACAAAGGGGAGGAAGAACAGGAAAACAACAAGCUGAAACAACAACAAAAUGGAGCUGUAAAUUGCUGUCAGAAAAUAAACUAUAGAGAAGAAGAACUGAAACUUGUUUUAAUACUCUUAUUUUUCUCUUAAUUGAACAUUACAUAGACUACACACAUAUAUAUAGUGUGUGUGUGACGAUUACAAAUCACAAAACAAGCAAAAAUAUCUACUUACUAGGAAUUUCUAGACAAAUCCGAAAAUAUCUUCUGACUAGGAGUUUCUAGACAAAUUCGAAAAUAUCUUCUAACUAGGAGUUUCUAGAAAAAUCUGAAAAUAUCUACUAACUAGGAGUUUCUAGACAAAUCCGAAAAUAUCUACUAACUAGGAGUUUCAGACAAAUCUUAAUUUCCUAACACUCCUCCUCAAGAUUUUUCAUUGAAACUCCCUGCAACGUCCUUUUGAACUCAAAUUUGUUGGUGGGAAGAGCCUUGGUUAGAAUAUCGUCUUGUUGUUCUUCACUUCUGCAAUGCACCAAAUUAACUUCGCCAUUCUUCUCCGCAUCUCGCAAAGCAUGAAAUCUGAUGUUGAUAUGCUUCGUCCUUCCAUGUCACACUGGAUUUUCAGCCAUAGUAAUGGCUGAUUUUUUGUCCACAUAGAUCACUGUUGGUUCUUCUGGCAAAAGAUCCAAUUCAAACAAGAUUUUCCUCAACCAAAUUCCUAGAUUUAUAGCAGAUGCAGCAGCCACAUACUCGGCUUCAGCUAAAGAUUGAGCUACGAUAUCCUGCUUCUUUGUGCUCCAAGAAAAAAUGCCUGAACCAAAUGAAAAAGAGUAACCAUAUGUGCUUUUGUAAUUGUCCAAACAUCCACCCCAAUCACUAUCUGAAUAGCCAAUAAGAGCUCUAUUCUCCACACUUUUGUACCAAAUGCCAUAAUCAGUUGUCCCUGUAAUAUACCUUAACACCCUUUUAGCAGCUCCAAAAUGCUUGGUGCUAGGACAUUGCAUAUAUUGGGACAGUAGACUAGCAGCAAACAUCAUAUCUGGCCUGGUAGAAAUCAUAUAUAAGAAGCUUCCAAUAAGACUCCUAUAAAGUUUUGAAUCUGCAUGCUUUUCUUCAUCAUCCUUCAUUAACUUUUCAUUCACGACAAGUGGAUUUGCAAUAGGUUUGCACUUAUCAAGUUUGAAUCUUUUUAAGAGAUUCAAGGCAUACCUCUUUUAGGACAAGAAAAUUCCUUCAGAAGAUUGAAAAAUCUCCAUUCCCAAGAAGAGCUUCAUCUAUCCUAGAUCAGACAUUUCAAAAAAUUUUAGCAUUGCAUUUUUAAUUUCUUGAAUCGUAAGAGAAUCUUCACCUAUGAUCAUCAAAUCAUCAACAUAAAUGGAUAUCACAAUCAACAUCCUAUCAGCUUGCCUUUUGAAGUAUAAAGUAGGCUCAUUUAGGCUUCUGUUGAAGCCUUGAGGCAACAAAUAAGUAUCCAGCCUACUAUACCAAGCUCUCAGAGCUUGUUUAAGGCCAUAGAGAACCUUUUUAAGCUUGUACACCUUGUCUUCUUCACCUGCAACAAUAAAACCUUUGGGUUGUUCAACAUAAAUAUCUUCUUCAAGAAAUCGAUUUAGAAAUGCAGAUUUGACAUCUAAAUGGUAGAUUUUCCACUUGUAUUGUGCUGCAAGAGCGACUAGAAAUCUUACUGUCUCAUGCCUCGCGAUAGGAGCAAACGUAUCUCCAAAGUCAACUCCAGGCUGCUGGGAAUAGCCUUUAACUACAAGUCUGGCUUUAUGUUUGAAGAUGGAGCCAUCUGGAUUGAACUUCGUUCUAUAGACCCAUUUGACACGGAUGACGUUCUUUUGGUCAGGCCUAUCAACCAGCUCCCAAGUGUCAUUUUUAUUAAUCAUGGCAAGCUCCUCCUCUAUUACAGAAAUCCAAGCUUUAUGGCUUGCUUCUUCUUCAAAAAAAGUGGUUCUACCAGAGUAAAAUUGCAUUACUCAUAAACUUCAGCUAUUGACCUGGUCUUCAAAACUGGAGAAUCUAAAGUUAAUUCAACAUUUGAAUUGUUCUCUUUUCCAAUAAUAGGACUGGAAGAAAUAUUACUCGUCUGCGGAUUUAGAGAUACAAUUGAAGUACUCUCUUCUUUGUUCUUUAUAACAAUAUCUCGAUCCCAAUCAUAGUAGCUAGACUCGUCCGCCACAAGAUCUCUAUUGAUAAGCACCUUCUUUGUACUAAUAUUAUACACUUUAUACCCUUUUGCAAUUGUGCUAUAGCCCAACAAAAUACAGAGUUCUGCCUUGUUUUCCAAUUUGCCUCUUUUAGCAUCUGGUACAUGGGCAUAGCACACCGAACCAAAUACUUUCAAGUGUCUCGCAGACGACUUUAUACCCCUUCAUACUUCAAAUGGUGUCAUGUCUUGGAGUGCUCUAGUUGGUAACCUGUUCAGCAAAUAGACUGCGGUAUUGACUGCCUCAACCCAAAAAUAUUUAGGCAUCUUCUUUUCUGCCAACAUGCAUCUCGCCAUCUCCAUCACUGUUAUGUUCUUCCUAUCGAAAACCUUGUUUUGUUCUGGAGUGUAGCUAACAGUGAAUUGUUAUUGAAUACCCAAUUCUUUACAAUACUUGCUGAACUGAUGUGAAGUAUAUUCAGUUCCAUUAUCUGACCUGAUAUACUUCAACCGACAUCUACUCUUCCUUUCGACCAUAGCCUUGAAUUCUUUGAAAACAGAAAACUACUUAAAAAAUAGACCCAUAACAUUCGAGUUAGAUCAUCUAUGAAGAGAAUAAAAUAUUUAUUCUCACUCAAAGAAGAUGUCCUCAUUGGUCCACAUAUAUCUGUAUAAACCAACUCUAGCUUUUCCUUUGCCCUCCAAAGACUUCCUUUAGGAAAGGAUCGUCUAUGCAAUUUACCAAAUCGACAUGACGUACAAACAUCUCAGCACAUGUCAAUUUUGGGUACAUCAAGCACCAUACCUUUGGAUUGUAUAUAAAUUAAUAAACUAAGGUUGUAAUGACCGAAUCUUUUGUGCCAAAGCCAGGCAUCACUCAUUUCAACAUUGAAAGAGCAACUUUCAGCAGAUAGCAUGAAAUUGGAAAGGAAUUACCAAUCAUGCUAAUUUUAGCUACUUCACAACCUUUAGGAUCAUAAUUGACACAUUUGUUAUCCUUAAAAGUAAGUGAAUAACUAUUGUGAAGCAACUGAGCAAUACUCAACAAGUUUUGAGUCAAUCUUGGUACAUAGAGAACAUCGUUUGUGAUUUUCAUACCUUCGUCCGUAAGGAAUUUUAUUGAUCCUCUUCCUUGAGCUUGUACCAGUGUGCCAUCUCCGAGCUUCACUUUGGUCCUAUCAGACCUAUCCAAGCUAACAAAUAUAUUUCUAUCAAUCGCUAUGUGCCUUGUGAAUGCACUAUUGACGUACCAAUUAUAUUGAUCAACAUGUGAUGUGUGCGAAGCCAUGAAUACCUCCUCUGAUUUUUGAACUUGGUGAUCUUUUGCAAAAUUUACUCGUUGGGAAGACUGACCACUUUGAGCUUGCUUUUGCCUGCAAUACUACUCAAUGUAUCCAUACUUCUUACAAUAUCUACAUUGAAUAGGGGACCUCUUGAACUUCUGCCAACAAUUCCUCUCCAAGUGGUCUAUCUUCUUACAAACACCACAAUGUGGAAAUUUUUCUUUCUUCGAUGAUUCACCUUGGUAUCCACCAAAUUUCGCCUCUCCAAAGUGGUCUAAAGAGAAUUUUUUGCCUUCCUUUUGUUGCUUGAAUUUAUGCCUUACUUGAAAGGCAUCUUCGACUGUCCCUUCACUUUUCAUGGUCACCCGUUACUCUUGAAUUUGCAAUUUCGAGAUCAGCUCAGCUAUAGAAAGAGUAGUCAAGUCACAAGACUCUUCAAUAGCUGAGAUUUUUGAUUUGAACUUGUCCAGAAGGCUGACCAUAAUAUUCUCUACAACUUUCUGAUCUGAAAAGUUUUCACCAAGUAUCCAUAUUUGGUUCACAAUAUCCAUCAUCUUGGAAGAGUAUUCCUUCACAGUAUCUGAAUCCUUCAUCUUCAAGAGCUCAAACUCCCUCUUCAAAGCUAAGACCUUAACAGACUUAACUCUGUUACUGCCUUCAAACUUCUCGUUUAGCUUAUCCCACGUUUCCUUGGCUGUCUCACAAGCCAUAAUCCUUGUAAAUAUCACUCCGUAAGACUUGAAUGUAUGGAAGUGAGAGCUCUUGGAGAUCUAGUCACCAACUUAGCAUAAUUUUUGAUUUCAUUGAGUUGCGUUGUCUCUCAAUGCCUGGACAACAACUUCUCCUCUCUCAACGACAUCCCACAAGUUGAGAGCCUUCAAAUAAGCCUGUAUUUUAAUGGCCCAAAUAUGGUAAUUCACCCCCGAGAAAAUAAGAGGACCCGUUGUUGGUUGAUUUUUUGGUGCCAUGUUUACAACAAAUAGAUCCAAGAAAAGGAGUUAAAAAUAAGAUGAGCCAAUCAACGAAAAUAGAUUCAUAUCCCGUAAUAAAUGGGCUCUGAUACCAUGUCACAUGAAGGGGAGGAAGAACAGGAAAACAACAAGCUGAAACAACAACAAAUAGAGUUUUAAAUUGCUGCCAGAAAACAAACAAUAGAGAAGAAGAACUGAAACUUGUUUUAAUACUCUUAUUUCUCUUAAUUGAACAUUACAUAGACUACACACACGCACACAUAUAUAUAUAUAGUGUGUGUGUGAGGAUUACAAACCACAAAACAAGCAAAAAUAUACUUACUAGGAGUUUCUAGACAAAUCUGAAAAUAUCUUCUAACUAGGAGUUUCUAGACAAAUUCAAAAAUAUCUUCUAACUAGGAGUUUCUAGACAAAUCCAAAAAUAUCUACUAACUAAGAGUUUCUCGACAAAUCCGAAAAUAUCUACUAACUAGGAGUUUCAGACAAAUCUUAAUUUCCUAACAGUUUUGCUUGCGUUAUUGGUUUUUAAGUAUGUAAUUGUUUUGAGGCCUUAUGGAUGUGUCCUGGAAGACGUGUGAUCUGGUGGAUGCCAUAUUCUGUCUGCUUGGCUGUAUAAUCUGUUCAUGUUUGAACAUAUAGCACAAAUAGGAUAACCAUCACAACCUAUGCCAUAUAGAAUAAUGAACCUGUUCUUGUCGUCAAAUCUAGGUUGUUGCAUUACGCUUAUAUGUUCAUAUGCAUAUCAACAACAUACCCAGUAUAUUCCCACCAAGUGGGGGCUCAUAUGCAUAUCAUGAUGCUAGUUUUUAAUCAUAAAAUUAUUUGUUUUUAUUAUGUGUAGACACGUAAUUUUAUCCCGUCAAAAAUAAUUCUUACUCCGUUAUCACGCACUUUAACCUCGUCUUAUAAUUUUCUUCAAGAAAAAUAAAAUAAAAUAACCAUUUUAUUUAUUUAUUUAUCUUUGUCUUUAUCCAAAUAACAAAUCUCAACCAAUUUUGUCUUCUUUUUAAAACCUCCCAACAACCCCUCCAAUUAAAAAACAACACCUCACCUCUCACCUAACGACCCCAUACCCCUACCCAUACACCUACCCACGUGACCCCCCCUUAGAUUUCUUGUCCACAAAGAAAAAAAGGUACCCUCUAGGAAAGACACCAAGGACCCACUCCAUUUUUUUAAUCUUUUGAAAACAUAAGAUUCUUUUUUGGCCCAUUGGUAGGGAUUGACAAUUUUAAAAAAAGAGAUAGAAUUUCCAUUUCUUGGGGGAUAGGGACAGCAAUACAGAGGGAUAGAAAGGAGUCCAUCAUCAUCAUUCUUUAACCCCAAAAAGAGCCCUUUUUGACGAAAAAAGAAAAACACCAUUUUGGAAGGAAGAUUCGGCUCUCAUUUUCUUCUCCAUCAUACACGCACAUAUCUCUCACCGUCCUUCACUGGACACACACAUAUGCACACUGGAUAUCUGCGAGAGACAAAUAUUGAGAGUGAAAAGCAAAGGAGAUUGAUCGAAAAACGAGGUAAACGGUAAGUUGCGAAGGUCGUCGGAGCUUCGGCAAUGCGAAAACACUGGUUUCAAGCUCCGUAAUAAUCAAAUCCUUCAGAAACGUCACCAACGUCUGUCAGUGACCAGCUCAAGUGAGAUAAAAAAUGGUAACCCAUCUCCGAUUCUGGUCGAAAUCCAUAGAAAAUUAUCAAAAAUAGACCGGCGUCAUGGAGCUUUAGGUUCACUAUCGAGUCUGGGUUCGAACUAAAUUUUCGAUUACGGCUUUUGAUAUCGAGUUGGUCGAGUUAGUGUUGGGGUUCUGCUCGUUGUUUGAGGUUUCAAGUUGCGGAUUCGGAAUAUAAAUUUUUUCUGUUCAUUCAAAUUAUAUUUGAAUUCGAAAGCGUCAUUUGAGGUCCAAUUCUCUUCUCUCCCCCUUUAUUUUAAUUUUGAUGUGAUUAUGGAUGUGAUUCGAUGUCUUUGUGCUAUUUGUUGGUUGAUUUAUGUGCUGUUUGAUGUUGUUUUCUUUUGAGUAAUUGAUAUCAGUGGUAUAAAAGUGAUGAUAAUGUGAAUUUGGGUUUGUAUCGAGAAGGAAUUUGGGGGCGUGAGAAUUGUAAAUCGAAAAGAGUAAAUAUUAUAAUAUUUUGAUUCAUUGUUGAUAUUGAAUGUUGAUAGUAUCAUGACAGGUUGAAUUGGAUAGGCAAAAGAUGUUUAGGUUCGAGUAGGCAAAUUUAGGAAUGAUGUUUAAUUGAAGGCGUGGAAUGUUGGAUGUGUUGGUUUAUGUUUUCAGAUUGAAAUGUAUUCAUUUGGCCGAGGAAUGCCCCGAAGAUUGAUGUAUUUAUUCACUGGGGAAUUCCCCGAUGUAUCAUGUUGGCGAAUGCAGAUCGUGAUCAAGGCCCGAGGCAUCGGGUAAAAUCUGAGAGCAUAGUUAGGAUUAGUAUAGGCUAGAAUAGGUUUAUAUUUUCUCAUUUUUCAUUUUUUAGGACUGUAUAAUUGGAUUGGACACUAAAUUUUGGAUUGUUUCGUCUUGUUUGUUUGAUUGGUUGUUUUGCUUGUUUUGUAUGGUUUAUACAUUCGUAGUGCCAAAAUAGUCGAUACACUCUACCAAGUGACUGUGGUUAAACCACGGGAUCGAGGGGUGCCUAACACCUUCUCCUCGGUUAAAAAAAUUCCUUAACCAGAAUCUCUAUUCGCAAACCAGUUUAAAGAGUCAAAUCAUUUUGAAAAGGAUUUUCCUAAGAUGACUUGGCACAUCGAUUAUGCCAAGUGGAGACUCUGAAUUUUGAAUAUAAAAAGGCCCUUUUCAAAAUAAAUUUUCAUCUUUUGUCACUUUAAUAAUAAAACCCUUUUGAUCCUUAAAAUCAAUCUAAUCUUUUGGAGUUAAAAAAAAGAGGGUGUCACAGCUCUUGCGACUCUGCUGGGGAUCAUUUCAGAAUUCGAGCUUUUUUUUUAGUUGUAUCGGCUUAGUUUGGCAUUAUGGGUGUAUAGACAUUGUUUGUGUUGUUUUGUGUUAUUUCUUUUUUCAUUGUUGAGUUCCUGUGUGCUCUUUGUUUACAGUUUUUAUCUUAUGUGUUACCGUUUUAUAUCUGACAUCAUGUGCAUAACCCGAGUCAUUUUUUUUUCAACAAGUUCGUUGUGCAUGCUGUGUACACGACCUCUAGUUGAGUCACCCUUAUCUUAGGAGGGAGAGCCGUUGGCUAGUAUGGAGUGUGUGGAAAGCUAAAGCAGCCACUAUCGACCAUACGCUCCCCUGAAUAGCGUUGUUAGUGAACCCCAGCAUAGGUCUGCCUUUAGGUCAUGCUUAUUUGUAUCAUAUUGAGACCUAGCGGGUCCCACUUGGUCCUUUGUAGGAAACUCACCUCUGAGGCAUCCCUACAUAAGAAAUAUUGCAUCUUUGAGGGUAACGAGGUCAUUUGACGGACUGAUUUGGGGAAAAACAUGUGUUAGAAAUAAAGUGUGUAAGCAAUGAAAAAAAAAGUGAGUCGAAAAAAAAAGGAGUUUCGUAGUUUUUAGAGUUCUUUAUGGCUUUUGUUUUCCACAAUCCAAAAAUUCAAAAAAAAAAUCUUUUACCUUUCGCACUCAUUUUCUUGAAAAUACCAAAAAGAUUUUUUUUAUUUUUAGUUGUUGAUGUCAAUGUUAUGUGAAGUGUCUAAUUAAACCCCCCUCCCCCCUCCCUAAAAAAAAGAUUUUAUUUCUCAUCGUCUGUCUGUAAUCGCGUCUCUCGAGUUAAGUCGUAGUUUGUUUUAAUCCUUAAUUGUCCAAGCUGGACGAACUACACAUACCUUAUUCCCAUCUCUCGGGACGGGAUACGUAGGUAACCCUUUGUGGGUCCGAUAAUCUUUAUUUUAGCCUUUGUCUGAGCCUUAGCUUAGGUCUUUCUCCUCUUAAUUUAGUGCUGUUAGUAGGUUUUAGCCAAGUAGGCUGAUUUUAUUCAGUGAUACUGUUCGGCGAAUUGGAGUCAUAAAGCGGUCUGUCCCUUCAACAUAUGUCUGCAUCAAAGUCCCAAGGGUUCGGAAUCUUUUGUUCCUGUCGAAUUUUGAGAUAAUGUCUUAAGUUUAUUACAGGAUGGAUUUGUCCACAAAGUCUAGAGUCCGGAUGGUUGGCAAGGUGCCCAAAAAGUUAAUCAAAUGGUGGGGCAUGUUUAACUAUGUCGAACAACGGGAGUUAGAGAAGAAGCUCGACACUCUCAUUUCUCUUUUGUCUAUCACACCCCGCCCAAACCUAAUCAAGGCUGCAUUGACUUUUUGGGAUCCGACUUGUCUAGUUUUUAGGUUUGGAAGUUGUGAAAUGACGCCUACCCUGGAGGAAAUACCCGGUUUAUUUGGAUUGCCCUACAUUAAGAAGACGAUGAUUCGGGCGCGAUGUCAUUCUCCCAAUAGGUUUCUCCACUGUUAUGGAUUGAAAGUUAAUAACCAACUAGGGUGACUUAACCAAUCUUGGAUCUCUUUCGAUUACUUGUAUGCUCGAUUUGGCCUUCCAGACAGUUUCGAUUAUUUUUGGGAUGAAUUUUAUACAACUAAAAAGAAUUGGGAGAAACGUCGCCUUGAGGUCUUCACCUUUGUUUUGUUAGGAACUUUGGUAUCCUCUUUGGAAGAUAGGCGUCUUAAUACUCAUUUGCAAAUUGUAGCGAUGGCCUUAUUUAACAAAGAUAAGGGAGAUGAGGUUACUAUCGUACCCAUGAUCUUAGUAGAGAUAUACAAAGCUUUGACCGAUGUAAAAAAGGGUAUGCGAUUUUUUAAGGGGAGCAACCUAGUACUACAACUAUGGAUGAUGGAGCAUUUGCACACCCCUUAUUUUCUUAAGUUAGACAUAAUCGACCGUUGUUUGCCCAGUCGAGUGGAAACCAUAGAAGAUAGAAUGCGCUUUGCUAAAUUUUAUUGCCCGUAGGAGUCAAUGCUUGGAUCGAGUUUCUUGAAUCAAGAACAGAUGACAAUAUCCUAGGGACCUAUCUAUGGCUCCGGCCGAAAGUAAUCUUGGUUGGAUCUAACAUACACCCCGUUCUAGUUUUAUUGGGGCUUAAUUGUACCCGACCAUAUACUCCUCUUAGGGUAAUGCGUCAAUUGGGUAGAGUACAAGAUGUUCCACCAAUAUUGGACUUUCAACAGGAUGUGGAGUACUUUAGGGACCAAGCUAGGGGUGAGAUCAAGUAUGAGCAAUUCUGGAGUAAUGCAACCUGGCAGGGCAUGGAUACUCUCAGGACAAGUUUAGAUAAUCUCGGAUAUACUCAAGGAUAUAGAAUCUAGUUAUAAUCUAUUCCUCGGGGUGUCAGCAUACCAUUACCAGUGUAGCUUAGAGGGAGGAUACAAUAUGAAUGCAUAGUUGGUGUCUGUCAGGAUGAAGGGGCGGGGGCCAAAGUAGAGACACUGAGAGUUCAGUUAUUAGGUUUGCUCAAAACUAUGGAGGGGUGUCAGAACAGUCUUUUCAAGUGUACUCCUCAUGAGGCAGGAAUACGUGCCAGCGGCAUCUUCCCAAAUAUUGAAGGGUCCUUACAAGAUAUGCUACAUAGUUUGAAUGGGAGAAAGAGAACUUCACAGGCAGGUUCAUCUCAGCUAGGGUCAUCAUGCAGGGCACCAGUUUGAAGGAGCAUUUCCUAUCUUUUAUUUAGUUUGAGUCCUUUACUUUUUUGCCAUUUAUAGUAUUGUGUCUUUGUUAAGUCGGUAUCAAGUUUGCUUUGACUUUGGAGUCUUUAUUAGGAGCAUUAUGUGUGUUGUCAUGCUACGUCUAGAAUGUCAUUCAGUCUUUGUUGAUUAGUAUCGAGGUUGUCUUAAUUUCGUUGUAUGUUUUUGUUGUUUCUUUCAUCAAAAUGUUAUGAUGUUACGUCUUUCUUUUUUUGUUUGUUUUUGUUUUUCGUGAAAAAAAUAACCUUUAAUUAUGUGAUGUUUAUGCAUAUGCAUCCCGAACUACGCAAGAUCUAAUUCAUGCACAACAUGAUACGUAGGCAACCUGCUUUUGGGUUCGAUCUAAUCAUUUUGUUUCGUUGUUUUUCAUCAUUUUUCCCUCUUUUAAAGAAAAGCAAAAGUUAUAAAGAAUGAUAAAACGAAGGUAGAUAGUGAGAGAAGAAAAGAAAGUAAGGAUGAUGAGAAAGUAAAGAAAGGGAAGUGAGGGCAAAAGAGGUGUGUUUGGAAGAAAGAAGAAAAAGAGUGUAGAUGAAAAUCGGGAUGAUGCUAAAAUGACCUCGCUACCCUCAAAGGCUGGUAGAAAUGAAAAUGAAUCUAGGAAAAUUUUACCAAUAUGAUUCCCAUGUUUGUUGUAUGGACUAAUCCUAACGGAUGUUGUCUUUGAUGAGUAUGUUCUUUCAGAUAACAGUGGUUGGUUUGCAGCACUCUGGCUAAUCACCCGUACUUUACUAGAUCAAAAGCAAAGCUCACCAUGGCUAGUAGGGAGAUUGAAAAUUCGCUCAUUGACCCGAAUCAGGAUCCCUGGGAAGAAAGUUCAGAACACAAUGAUGAGGUAGUAAGGCUCAGACAACAAUUGAUAGAUUUGCAUCGAGCAUGGACUAGUGGCAUGCCUCCUCCUCUACUCCUUGAAGGUCUUGGGAAUAUCUCUAAUUGCCCACCGCUCUCUCAGGCGCAAUUCUCUACUCCUACUGAAUCACCUGAGCACGUACCAGGAUUUACUCCGCGACAUUAUUAUCCUAGAACUUCUAGUGUGCCCUUGGCAGCUCCCCAACUAAGACCCGCUGCUCAGCUGGCGCCACUGAUCACACCGGUGUUUGUGGCUCCGCCAUUACCUGAAGCUCCCACAUAUGCUAUGCGUCUGACAAUGGGGCUUCUUCGAUCUGUCAGUGAGCCGGUAUUGAAGGUUCUAGAUAGUCAAUAUUAUGCCCCAGAGCCUACUUUGAGAAUGAAUGAACUGUAUGGGUACACUCAGCCACCUGCAUUUCCAUUUGAUACAGAGAAACCUGUCUCAAUAGAGGAACAGGAUGUCAUAGUGUGGAAAUUGAAAAGUUUGGAGCAAGCCAUGAGGAAUUUACAGGGAAUUAGAGGUUAUAAGAGUGUUUCCUAUAAAGAUCUUUGCAUGUUCCCAGACGUCAACCUUUCCCUCAGUUUUAAAAUGCCCAAGUUCGAGAAGUAUGUUGGGCACGAUGACCCCGUGGCACACUUGAGACGUUAUUGCAACCAAUUGAGGGCUGCAGGGGGAAGGAAAAAGUUGCUCAUGGCUUUCUUUGGUGAGAGUCUUUCUGAUCUGGCUUAUGAAUAGUUUUUCGAUCAUGAUAUCGACAAGUGAAACAGUUGGGAUGACUUAGCUUCUGAGUUUGUGCAAUAUUUUUAGUAUAAUGUCGACCUGAUUCCGAAUGAAAAAUCCUUGGUCAACAUGAAGAAUAAAAGCACUGAAAACUUUAAGGAAUAUGCGAUAAGGUGACGUGAACAGGACACUAGGGUAAAGCCUCUAAUGAAGGAGAGUAAGCUGGUAGAGGUCUUCAUUCAGGUACAAGAUGAGACCUAUUUUCAAUAUUUACUUUAGGCAAUGGAAAAGUCUUUUAUUGAAGUCCUCAAAAUGGGGGAGAUGAUAGAGGACAGAAUCAAGACCGGCCGAAUAAUGAGUUUUACCGCGUUGAAAGCCACCACACAAGCGAUUCAAGGUGGAUCUGGAACGUUUGGAGGUAAAAAAAAGAAAAAGGAUGUGGUGACCAUUAUUGCUGGACCCUAUUCCUAUCCCAAAAGACCGCCUCGCCCCUAUCCCCAAUCCCAAGUCCAAGCCUAUGUCCAAGCUCCGUAUAUUUCUCCCCACCAUUACUACCCUCCGCAAAACCCACCAUAUGUCAUUCUACCCUCUCCUUAGCCAGUGUAUAACGCACAACCAUAUGCCCAAACUCCUUCUUACCUGUAAUGGCAUGCACAAGCUCCACAAAAUCGUCAUCAACUCCACCAAAUUACCAAAACCCCUCCAGACCCGAUUUCCAAUCCAGGCCCGAGUACAAGAAAGAGAAUGCGGUAAAAAAUUAGUUCACACCUCUUGGGGAGUCAUAUGCUAGCUUGUUUGAUAGGUUAAGAAAGAUGAAGGUCUUAAGCCCAAUUCAAGGAAGGCUUACAAAUCCACCUCUGAGGAAUCUCGAUUAUUCUUUAAGGUGUGCGUACUAUUCUGACAUAACAGGCCACGAUAUCAAGAAAUAUUGGCAUUUAAAGAGAGCUGUCCAAGAUUUAAUUGACACAAAUUAGAUGCUGGUCUAGGCCCCAGAGGUUCCGAACAUUAACCAGAAUCCGCUGCCAACCCAUGCUGAAACCAAUAUAUUAGAAUUGAUAUAUNNNNNNNNNNNNNNNNNNNNNNNNNNNNUUAAAAGCCUAUUGUCAAGAUACAGACCAGUGAGGCAAAAUCGGUGAAUGUAGCAGAGUCUUUGAAAGCAAUGUCAUUGAGCCAGGAAGGAAUGGGAAAAGACAAAUCCCAAUAAAGCAUAAAGAAACCCCUGAUCACAGUGCAAGGUACUAGAAGGUAUGUUUAUUUAAGUCAGGAUAAACCUAAGUUAACGGUGGUAGGAGCUCCGAGUAAGCCCAUCUUGACGGUGAAAGGAGCACUGGCAGCGCCUAUUGUCCUCAAACUGGUGAACCAACCUUCGAUAGUUGAUACGAAAAAAGUUCCCUGGAACUAUGGGCGAAUUGUGAUGACCUAUUAGGGGAAGGAAGUAGUGGAAGAUGUAGAUGAGGUAGGGGGUUUGACUCGGUCAGGAAGAUGCUUCGUGCCUGAAAGUUUAAGAAAGUCCAAGCCAAUUGUGAGUGGACCUUCAUGUAUCAAAAAGCAUGUCACUGAAGAAGAAGCCGAAGAAUUUCUGAAAAAGAUGAAGUUACCAGAGUAUUCACUAAUAGAUCAAUUGAAGAAAACCCCUGCUCAAAUUUCCCUCUUAUCGUUGUUGUUGUAUUCCAAGGAACAUCGUGAUAUUAUACUAAAGGUAUUAAAUGAAGCAUAUGUUACUAGGGAUAUUACAGUAAAUCAGCUUGAUAAACUAGUUGGAAAAAUCUUUGAGGUCAAUCGGAUCAGCUUCUCUGACGAUGAAUUGCCGAUUGAAGGUAUGAGGCAUCACCGGGGCCUUUACAUUACAGUGAAAUGCAAAGAUUUCUAUGUCACUCAUGUCAUUAUUGACGGAGGUUCAGGAGCAAAUAUCUGCCCUAUUUCUACUUUGCAAAAGUGAAUAUUGGUGUUGAGAGGAUUAGGCCCAACAAUAUAUGUGUCAAGGCUUUCGAUGGUGCAAAAUCAAAUUCCAUUGGCGAAAUAGAAUUAAUGCUAAUUAUUGGGCCUGUCCAAUUUGCCAUAGAGUUUCAAGUAUUGAAUAUCGAAUCCUUUUACAAUCUGUUAUUGGGAAGACCGUGGAUUCACAAGGCCAAGGCGGUUGCAUCUACACUGCACCAAAUGAUUAAGUUUAAGCAUGAUAGGCAAGAAGUGGUUAUUCACGGUGAAGAAGAUUUGUCCACCUGUGAAGAUUCUCCCUUGUCUCUUAUUGAAGCAAACAAUAUAGUGGAGACAUUUGUCUAUCAAAUUUUUGAUACAGUGCCAGUGGAUCGUACCCUUAAAGGGCAGGUUAUACCGGGAACACAAUUGUCUUCCGUUUCUAUCAUGAUGGUGAGUGAACUUUUGAAAUACGAAUUCAAGCCAGGAAGGGGUUUGGGAGCAUCUCUGCACGGUAUAGUUCGUCCCAUAUGUCUCAGUGAGAACGUGGGCACUUUUGGUCUAGAAUUUGAGCGAAAGCCAAGAGAAGGAAAAAAGGAAACAUGGUCACUCCCCCGCCCAAUGCCACUACUCAGUGAAUCAUUUAUUAAGAGCGGUGUCACGAAGCAGGUCGAAUUUGAAGAUGAUUUGGUUGAUGACUUCCAGAAUCUUAUUAUUGAAGUUGAUAUGGUUAAAGCAGGAGAAGGUAUCAGUAAGGCAGGUGUGAGUUCAUAGGCCCAGCUGUCCAUCUCAAUAAUUGGGAAGUCACUCCUCUCCCCGUCAGGAAGGAGUUUUUGUUGUUCAUUUUAUUUUUCUUUCUGUUUAUUCGAGUUAUUCCAGGGUUGUAAUUCAGAAUUUAGCUUGUUUAUAUUUUGUUGUUUGUGUUUAAACCCUCCUAUCUUUCCUUUUUAAAUGAAUGCAAUGUCCCUCUUAUUUUGUGUCUAAUAUAUUUCGUUUUUGUCUUUUACUUUAUAUAGUUCUCUUUAUGCUGAUUCUAAUGACAUGACAUGCGUGCAAAAUUUUUAGCCUGAUCUUAAAAUCCAAACUAAUCAAGAUAUAAUGAAGCAAGGGGGGAAUAUGAUGAAGAAGAGGCACUAGAAGAAAUAAGCAAAGAGUUGGAACAGUUUAAAGACAAACCGAAUCCUAAUUUGAAUGAAACUGAGCCAAUCAAUCUAGGGAAUCAAGAAGAUGUUAGGGAAACUAAAAUCAGUGUACAUGCAUUGCCAUAGUUAAAAGAGGAAAUAAUUCAAGCAUUAACUGAUUAUAAGGAUGUUUUUGCUUGGUCUUAUGAUGAUAUGCCUGGUUUAAGCACUGAAUUAGUGGCCCAUAAAUUGCCAACUGAUCCGCCAUUCCCUCAUGUCAUACAGAAUUUGAGGAAGUUUAACACUGAUAUACGUAUUAAAAUCAAAGAGAAAAUCAUGAAAUAAUUUGAAGCCAAAGUAGUUCGAGUGGCUCGUUAUCCCACCUGGUUAUAAAAUAUUGUUUCUGUCCCAAAGAAAGAUGGCAAAAUUUGGGUAUGUGUUGAUUACCGCGAUUUGAAUAGAGCAAGUCUGAAAGAUAAUUUUCCAUUGCCCAACAUCCAUAUUUUGCUGGACAACAACGCUAAACAUGAGGUUGCCUCUUUUGUGGAUUGUUAUGCCAGAUACCACCAAAUCAUUAUGGAUGAUGAAGACGCGAAAAAGACGUCUUUUAUCACACCAUGGGGGACCUAUUGCUAUCGAGUGAUGCCGUUCAGUUUGAAGAAUGCUGGAGCAACAUACAUGAGAGCCAUGACCACUAUGUUUCAUGAUAUGAUGCAUAAGGAGAUUGAGGUCUACGUAGAUGAUGUGAUUAUUAAGUCAAAAAGUCAGGUUGACCAUGUUAAAGAUUUAAGAAAGUUCUUUGAAAGGCUUCGCAGGUAUAAUCUCAAGCUCAACCCGACAAAAUAUGUAUUUGGAGUUUCGUCUGGAAAGCUAUUAGGGUUUGUAGUCAGCCGUUGGGGAAUUGAAUUGGAUCCCUCAAAAAUCAAAGCUAUUCAGGAUUUACCCCCGCCCAAGAAUAGGACAGAGGUGAUGAGUUUGCUUGGUAGACUGAACUAUAUCAGCAGGUUUAUUGCUCAACUUACAACCACGUGUGAGCCUAUUUUCAAGUUGCUGAAAAAGAGUGCUGUGGUAGAAUGGACUGAAGAAUGUCAGGAAGCAUUCGACAAAAUUAAAAGAUAUUUGUCAAAUCCGCCCAUGCUGGUACCACCAGAGCCUGGUAGGCCUUUGAUCUUAUAUUUAUCAGUCAUGGACAAUUCUUUCGGUUGUGUCCUGGGUCAACAUGAUGUCACAGACAAAAAGAAGCAGGCUAUUUAUUAUCUUAGCAAGAAGUUCACCGCAUAUGAGGCUAGGUAUACUCUUCUUGAAAGAACGUGUUGUGCCCUAACUGGGGUAGCACAGAAGUUGAAGCAUUAUCUCUCAUCCUACACCACUUAUCUCAUCUUCCGCAUGGAUCUUUUGAAGUAUAUUUUUUAGAAGCCUAUGCUGACAGGUCAAUUGGCAAAGUGACAAAUAUUUCUUACCAAGUUCAAUAUUGUAUAUGUGACUCGAACCGCCAUGAAAGCCCAAGCCUUGGCAGAUCAUCUUGCUGAGAAUCCCAUUUAUGAAGAUUAUAAGCCGCUAAAGACAUACUUUCCUGAUGAAGAGGUGUUGUGUGUCAAUGAAUUCAUUAUAAAUACUGAUCCAGGUUGGAAGUUGUUCUUUGAUAGAGCCGUUAACAUGAAGGGAGUCGGAAUAGGUGUAGUUCUUAUCUCUGAAUCAGGGCAACAUUUCCCGCUAACAGCACAACUUCGAUUUUAUGGUACCAAUAACAUGGCGGAAUAUGAAGCGUGCAUUCUUGGUUUAAGGCUAGCUGUCGAUAUGGGAGUCCAGGAAUUAUUAGUUUUGAGGGACUUUCUCGUCCAUCAAAUUCAAGGUGAUUGGGAGACAUGAGAUUUAAAGCUCAUCCCGUAUCGACAAUGCUUACAGGAGCUAUGUCAAUGAUUUGUUUUAGUAAAAUUUAGGCAUAUUUCAAGGAUUCAUAAUGAGAUUGCUGAUGCUUUAGCCACUCUGUCUUUAAUGCUUCAACAUCCUGAUAAAACCUACAUCGAUCCAGUGCAUAUACAGAGUCGUGAUUAGCAUGCUUACUAUAAUACGGUUGAAGAAGAGAUCGAUGGAGAACCUUGGUUCUUUGAUAUCAAGCGAAGAAUAUCCUACACAUGCCACCUGCGAUCAGAAAAGGACUAUUAGACAUUUGGCUAGUGGAUUUUUCUUAUGUGGGGGAAUCUUAUAUAAGAGAACCUCGGAUCUAGGACUUUUGAGGUGUGUAGAUGCAAGAGAAGCCUCGAUGAUCAUAGUUGACAUACACUCUGGAGUAUACGAUCCGCAUAUGAAUGGUUAUAUCUUGUCAAAGAAGAUACUUUGAGCAGGUUAUUAUUGGCUGACUAUGGAGCGGGAUUCUAUUCAGUUUGUUCGAAAAUAUCAUCAAUGUCAAGUACACGGUAAUCUAAUAUAUUCCCCUCCUGCUGAGUUACACGCGAUGUCUGCUCCAUGGCCUUUUGUAGCUUGGGGGAUGGACGUGAUUGGGCCGAUUGAACCAAAAGCGUCAAAUGGACAUAGAUUCAUUUUGGUGGCCAUUGAUUACUUCACAAAGUGGGUAGAAGCAGUAACUUUCAAGUUAGUAACAAAGAAGGUUGUGGUAGAUUUUGUUCAUACCAACAUUAUUUGUAGGUUCGGAAUCCCAAAGAUGAUCAUUAUGGACAAUGCUGCCAAUCUCAAUAGUCAUUUGAUGUAAGAAGUGUGCCAACAGUUCAAGAUCGCCCACCAAAAUUCCACUCUAUAUCAUCCAAAGGCUAAUGGUGUGGUGGAGGUCGCUAAUAAGAAUAUCAAGAAGAUACUGCAGAAAAUGGUACAAGGGUCUAGAUAAUAGCAUGAGAAGUUGCCGUUUGCUCUGUUAGGUUAUCGCACCAUGGUUCGCACUUCAACAUGGGCAACUCCAUAUUUAUUGGUGUACGGGACAAAAGCAGUCAUUCCUGUAGAAGUUAAAAUUCCCUCUCUUUGAGUUAUUGUGGAAGCAGAGAUUGAUGAUGAUGAGUGGGUCAAAACUCGACUGGAACAAUUAAGUUUGAUUGAGGAAAAAAGGCUAACGAUGGUAUGUCAUGGCCAAUUGUAUCAGAAGAGAAUGGCUCAAGCGUAUAACAAAAAGGUACGACCCAAGCAUUUUGAAGUUGGUCAGUUGGUAUUGAAGCGUAUCCUUCCUCACCAAGUUGAAGCGAAAGGCAAGUUCUCCCUAAACUGGCAAGGUCCCUUGAUUGUAAAGAAAGUGUUGCCCAAUGGAGCCUUAUAUUUGACAGAUAUUGAAGGCAAAAUGGAAGAAAUGACUAUCAAUGAUGAUGCCGUCAAAAGAUAUUAUGUAUGAUAUUUUAUCUUUUGUUGAUGUUAUUGCAUGUUUAGUACUUGCAUUUUUGGAGAUUGAUAUUAUGAAGGCAUUUUAUUCUUCUAUCCAAACAUUGUGUCAUCCUUUGUUUACCCGAGCUUAGUUUUAUUUUUCUUUCAUAUCCCUCUUUUGGAAUCAAAAUAGAGUCAAAGAUAAAUGUCAGGAAAAUAAGAAUAAAAGAAAGACUUCAAAAAUAAAAGAAAAAAAGAGAAAAAAAUCAAUCAAAUCAAAACAAAAAACAAGCUGAUGGAACUACGUGCGACCUGAUUCUCCUCUCUCGAGUGUGAGAUAUGUAGGCUGCCCUAUUUCGGGCUCAGUCCAACCAAAUAAUAUUUUUAGAGUCACCCAGUCAACGAAAAAUUGGGGCAUGAGUUAAUGUGUUGUUUGAGUCGAUUCCAAAAGUUGUAUGUCCCACCCCCAUUUCAAGUGUCAUUUGAGCCUCUUGCCAUCCUUUUCUAACCUUAUCCAAAAGCCAAGUUACAACCAAAGAAAGUCUUUCAGAUCAAUUUUUGAUAAUGUUAAUGUUAAGCAUGCAAUGGAUAUGAUAAUACAUCAUGGGGUACUACUUGUUUUCCUCAGCGUAAGAAAUCAGGAAGGAAAUGGAAAUGAGAGAGUCUUAUUGGUGAAAACCCUCAUGGGCACCAUAAGGCGAUGGUGAGUUGAGAGAAAUAAAAAAUGAGAGAGUCUUACUGGUGAAAACCCUCACGGGCACCGUAAGGCGAUGACAAGUUCGAAAGAAAGGUGAAAGAAAAAGAGGUUUGUUAGCGAAAAUCUUUCAAGAUGUCCUCAAUUGAAUAAUAUAUAUGAGUCCAAUGAAUUGGAAGAAGCAGCAGCGGCAAAGGCACGAUCUCAACAACAAAUGGGAAGUUUGGAUAGGAAGAUCAAACAGCUUAAUCCAAAAUGCAUGUCAUAGUCAUUGGAGUUGGUUGCCAUCUUCAGAUAAGUUUUCUUCUUUGUUAAAAAGAGGGACAUUGGCCUUUUCUUUCAUUUACAUAUUCAUGCUUUUUCUCUUUUUAUGUCAUUUAUCAAAAUAAAAGACACCAUCAUUUCUUUACAUUUUAAGUCAAGUCUGUGUCAAAACAAGCGAGAAAAAAUUUCAAAACUUGCUACCAGUCUUUCCAAUUGUAUGAGGAAAAGCCAAGGACCAGCACAUGAAAGAAAUAUGACCGUAAUUCAAUAUGAAGAAAAGGAAGUCUAUCAACCGACAGGUUGUUGGAUUCGUGGGAGCAUUCAGAUUUGGAAAAGGGUGCACCUCAGAGGCAUGGUAAAAUGGAAACCUAUUGUUCGAGUCAGAACUCAUUUUCCUCAAGCUGGAUUUGGGUCAAUGAUGCGGCAAGAGAGGGCAAGUGUCAGCGAUUUGGAACAAAGAUGAAAGGAACGAGUGUUGGGGCAGAUGCCUGAGAAGCCAAGUGCUGCAAGCCACCACUAAGUUUUUAAUUGACAAAUUUUCUUUGUUGGAACAGGGGCAAAUUCACUUCACUUAAUUCAGCUACCAUUGAAAAAACACAUCCAUGGGGACUUUACUUUCUGUUCAGAACCCUCCUGAAAAAAUGAGAUUUUACUUUCUGUUCAGGACCCUCCUGAAAAAUGAGAUUUUACUUUAUGUUCAGGACCCUCCUGAAAAAUGAAAUUUUACUUUAUGUUCAGGACCCUCCUGAAAAAUGAAAUUUUACUUUAUGUUCAGGACCCUCCUGAAAAAUGAAAUUUUACUUUAUGUUCAGGACCCUCCUGAAAAAUGAAAUUUUACUUUAUGUUCAGGACCCUCCUGAAAAAUGAAAUUUUACUUUAUGUUCAGGACCCUCCUGAAAAAUGGGACUUUACUUUUUGUUCAGGACCCUCCUGAAAAAUGAGAUUUUACUUUCUGUUCAGGACCCUCCUGAAAAAAUGGGAUUUUACUUUCUGUUCAGGACCCUCUUGGAAAAUGAAAUUUUACUAUAUGUUCAGGACCCUUCUGAAAAAUGAGAUUUUACUUUAUGUAGGACCCUCUUGAAAAAUGGGAAUCUACUUUACUUUCUGUUCAGGACCCUCCUGAAAAAUGAGACUUUACUUUCUGUUCAGGACCCUCCUGAAAAAUGGAAUUUUACUUUCUCUUCAGGCCCCUCCUGAAAAAUAGAACUUUACUUACUGUUCAGGACCCUCCUGAAAAAUGAGAAUUUACUUUAUGUUUAGGACCCUCCUGAAAAAUGGGAAUUGACCUUAUGUUCAGGACCCUCCUGAAAAAUGAAAUUUUACUUUAUGUUCAGGACCCUCCUAAAAAAUGGGAAUUAACUUUCUGUUCAGGAGCCUCCUAAAAAAUGGGACUUUACUUUCUGCUCAGGACCCUCUUGAAAAUGGGAUUUUACUUUUUGUUCAGGCCCAUCCUGAAAAAUGGGACUUUACUUUCUGUUCAGGACCCUCCAAAAAAAUAGAACUUUACUUUCUGUUCAGGACCCUCCUAAAAAUAGAAUUUUACUUUUUGUUCUGACCCCUCUUAAAAAAUGGGACUUUGAGCAACAGUAAGCAUGUGUGUGUGGGACAAUAAAGCGUGGCAGAUUGAGUGCCGACGUGCCGUGAUAGACUCACGAGGUGCUUUCAUUGACCUGCACAAAUAACAAGUUACAUUGAAUUUUGCUAUGUGACAUGCCACGCUGAAUUGGGACCCACAUUAAUAAUGUACUGACAUUACAUCGAAUACAUUAUUGUUAUUAAAAAUGCAAUACAAAAUUGGAGUAGUAAGUAUUAGUACUCUCUGAUUUCAUAUUAUGCAGAGCGAUAUAUUUUAUCAACCAUAGAGUUAUUUAAAAAUCUAUGAUAUCAGGUAUAUUAUAACAUUUUUGUGAGUGUGAUAUCAAGUAAUUUCUAGGAUAUUCUCUUAUCACUUGAUACGAAAUCUAAAAUUCAAAGUGGUCCUCAUGGAAAAAAUCAUUUCUACAUAGUUAUGUCUUAUAGUAGUAGUUUUUUUCUUCUCUCUUUGACUAUUUUUUCUAUCAUACACAUCAUAUAAUAAUAUCUUAAUUUUGUUUGCUUCUCUUUUGCCUUUUUUCUAUCUUAGACUAUUCUUUCUUUUCGAUAUAUCACACAUAGUGUCUUUUGUUUUUGUCCCCUCCCUUGGACAAUUCUUUUUAUCUGACAUAUGACUAUGAACUCCAAAUCUGGAGAAAAUUUGGUAAGCCUUGCGGCAAUAUUUUAUUGUAGCGGUUCUCUUUCAACUACUAAUUAAUCAAUAGUUUAUGUUAAUUGUAUUUCUUAAAACUGAAUUAUUCAACUAGUCUGCUUGAACUCUGGACUAAAAGGGAGAAAGAGAAAAGGAAGGAUAAAAAAGUAUGGAAAGGUUUAUAAUCAAGGAGAUUAAAAUUCCUUCAACAGUAUACAAUUCCUAUUAUAUCCUUGAUGAAAUAUGAUUGGUGGGUUGGGAAUAAUUUUCCCUCUAAUCCCAAGUUAAUAUAUUUUCGAGUAUUGUCGAUAAUCAAGAUCUACAUUUUCAAGCUCACGAAGAGAAAGCAUACAAUAUCAUGUAAGAUUGCAAACAUGUGCUAGAGACCGGAAGUAAAUGAAGUUAUUAGUUAUAUACUAGAGGGAAGCAACUUAUGAAAGAUAUUGAGAAAUUUAUAUAAUUUUUGCAAUGUAAUGAAAAUAUUUAAACAUUUAAAGAAUCUAUGUCUAAAUUUAAUGUCUUGAUCUUUAUACUCCAAAUUUUACAAAUACUGGGACAAAUAAAGUAAUUAACAUGAUAAUCUAGAUAUUUGUGUUGGUACCGAAAGUGGAGAAUCCCCAAAGGUACACAAAGCAAAGACCAAUAGGUCUUAGCAACUUCAGCUAUAAAAUUAUUUCGAAAAUGCUGAACACCCGACUUAUCAAGGUUAUUCAUAAAAUAGUUUCACCAAAUCAAGCGAGUUUUCUGAAAGGUAGAUUUAUCUCUGAUAACAUUAUGUUAACUCAAAACAUAGUUUAUAACAUUGGUAAAAAUAAUACUAAUGGUAAUGUUGUAUUAAAACUUGACAUGACUAAAGCUUUCGAUAGAGUAGAUUGAAAAUAUCUUUGUCAGGCACUUAAAACUUUUGGAUUCUCUGAUUAUUGGACUGACGUGAUUUGAAGGCUUCUUUCUAAUAAUUGGUACCCUGUUAAUAUUAAUGAGGAAAGACAUGAUUUCUUCAAAUCAAGCAGAGGAAUUAAGCAAGGUGAUCCUCUCUCUCUCUUUAUUAUUAGCUUUGAACUACUGUCUGUUCUAAUGGAUCAAGUAAAAAAUGAGCAUUUUAUUCCAUAUACUAUUGAUAAAGGUUCUAUUCUCUUUAGGAGAUCCUUUGUCACUUACAGCCAUGAUGAAUAAACUAGCUGUUUAUGAAAAAUGUUCUGGACAACUUAUUAACAAGAGAAAAUCUUGCUUCUUAGUUGGUCCAAAUACUUCUCAAUCUACCAUUAAUGACAUCAAACAAGUUACAAGUUACGAUCAACAAAAGUUUUCUUUCGAUUACUUAGGAGCUCCUAUCUACAACGGAAGGAAAAAAGUUGUUUAUUUUUAUAAAUUAGCUUCUAAGGUUGCUAAUCGAAUGCAAGGCUGGCAAGGUAAGAUGCUUUCUCAUGGAGGUAGGGUUGUUCUUAUAAAAUCUGUCCUUUUCUCUAUGCCUUUACAUACUCUUUCUGGGAUUCAACUUACCAAAACAACUAUUAAUCAAAUUGAGAGCUUAUGGCUAAUUUUUUCUGGAGUGAUGGGGAUAGUAAAAAGAAAAUGCAUUGGAUAGCUUGGUGGAAAUUGUGUUUCCCUACUUUAGAAGGUGGGGUUGAUUUUAGAUCAAUUCAAGACAUCAAUAAUGCUUUUGGUGCUAAAAUAUGGUGGAAUUUCAGAACUAAGGAUUCUCUUUUGAAAAAGUUUCUAGAAAAUAAUUAUUUUCCGAAAGUAGGGCUGUGCAAAAACCGAACCGACCGAUAAAUCGAACCGAUAAAAAUGUUAUUGGGUUAUUGGUAUUGUGUUAUCAGGUUAACAGUUUUUUUAUCGAUUUUAUUAAAAAAUCUAUUGGGUAAACGGUUCGGUAUUGGUUUUAGCUUAUUAGGUUAUCGGUUAAACCGAUAACCUAAUAAGGAUACACUAAUUUAUUGUUUUAUCCCUAUUUAUUUUAUAUAUUUAAAUCUCGAUCUGUCUAUCUGUGUAUCUGUCUAUCUGUCUAUCUGUCUAAUCUGUCUAAUUUGUCUAAUCUGUCUGUCUGUCUGGUGUGUCUGGUGUGUCUGUUCUGUCUGUUCUGUCUGUUUUUCUGUUCUUCUGUCCAUCUGUCGGUCUGUCGGUCUGGUCUGUCUGGUCUGUCUUGUCUAGUCCAUCUAAUCCAUCUAUUCUAUCUAAUCCAUCCAUCUAAUCGGUCUAAUCAGUCUAAUAUGUCUGUUUGGUCUGUCUGGUCUGUUUGGUCUGUCUGGUCUGUCUGUUCUGUCUAUUCUGUCUGUUCGUCUGUCCAUCUGUCCGUCUGUUUAUCUGUCCGUCUGUCGGUCUAGUCGGUCUGGUCUGUCUGGUCUGUCUUGUCUAGUCCAUCUAUUCCAUCUAUUCGUCGGUCUGGUUUGUCUGGUCUGUCUUGUCUAAUCCAUCUAAUCCAUCUAUUCCAUCUAAUCCAUCUCUAUUCCAUCUAAUCCAUCUAAUCCAUCUAUCCAUCGAUCCAUCGAUCCAUCGAUCCAUCUAUCCAUCUAUCCAUCUAUCCAUCUAUCCAUCUAUCCAUCUAUCCAUCUCUAUCUAUCUAUCUAUCUAUCUAAUUAUAUACACUACCAAUUCAUAAUUCAGCGAUUCACAAAGUAUUAACCUAUUUAGGGCAACAAAGGCACAAUAUAAAGUUUGGCUAUUAUCGUAAUAAAAAGUUUAAAGCAUUUAUAGCUUCCAACAAUUAGGAUUCAAUUUUUCUCCUAACUAACAUUCAGUUCAAGUUUGAAGAUUCUUGUAAACUAAAAUGCAUUGCGUAGGUUUUGGCGCUAAUUAAGAUUUCAUUUUUUUAUGUUAGUUGUUACUAUUUCUAUUUUAUAAGUAUUUUCUUAUUGGUUAAACCGAAAAUCGAACCGUUAAGGACCAAAACCGAUAAAUCGAAACCGAUAAGAAAAUAUCUUAUUAGUUGGUUAUUGGUUUUACAUAUUUAAAAAUCAAAAACCGAUAAACCGAACUAAUAACACGUAAAACCGAACCGAACCGAUCGAUGCACACCCCUAUCCGAAAGCUCAUCCUGUCUACAAAAAAUGGGCCACAAGACAGUCUCACAUUUGGAAAAGACUUCUAGAAUCUAGAAAUUAGAGUGAAAAAUAUAUCAUUUGAAAAAUUGCUAAAGGAGAUAUUUCUUUUUGGUGGGAUAAUUGGAUCGGUUCUGGACCUCUAGCUUAAUUUUUUCCAUCUACUUAUCAUUCUAAAAAGAUCAAAGUUUCUGAAUUCAUCAGUUGUAGUGUAUGGAACUUUAAUAAGCUGCGUAAUAUUCUCCCUAGUUACAUUGUUUAUCAUAUUGCUACUAUUUAUAUCAUUGACUACAAAACUGAUCUUUCUAUUUGGACUCCUAAUCAGAAUGAUCUUUUUACUACUAAGUCUGCUUGGCAGACGCUGAGAAAGACUAGAAACACUACCCUUACUGCUACAAUGAUAUGGCAAAAAAAUAUUCCUUACAAAAUCUCCUUUUUUAUGCUUAGGUUAAUGAACAACAAGCUUCCUACAGAUGAAGCCUUGCAGAAAUUCAGAAUUCACGGGCCUUCAAAGUGUAUUUGUUGUAAAAGAAGUAUUGAGAAUGUGGAUCACUUAUUCAGUGGAGGAGAUUUGGCAGCUACAGUCUGAAAUUUUUUCUUCAAUUGUUGUGGCACCAACAAUAGACAAGAAAGAAUAAGAGAUACACUUAUUAAAUGGUGGUUGAGCAGUACAAAUAAUAGAGUCUAUAUAGUUCUUGUACAUUGUCUACCUUUAUUCAUUUUUUGGGAAACCUGGAAAGCUAGAUGUAAUAAAAAUAUGAAGACAUCAAAAGCUCUCCAGAUACUAUCAUCAACAAGGUUAUUUAUCAAAUCAGAAUACUUGUGGCAUGCCAGUUCCCCCAAGUCCAACUUAAGCAGCAGUGGCGCCACACUCUUCUCCAUAUCGAAAAUCUCAAACCUAGGAUUAAUAUUAAAUGUCUUAGGUAGAGCAGACCCAUCUUUAAUAUAUUUAAACUAAAUACAGAUAGAUGUAGCAAAGAAAAUCUAGGAAGCGCAGGAGAAGGGGGUGUUCUUUGGGAUGAAAAUGUACAGAUGGUCAUGGCUUAUUCAUAAUACUAUGGUAAAUGUUCCAACAAUGUUGCAGAAUCUAAAGCUAUUCUAUAUAGAAUAACAUGAUGCAUGACAAAUGGUUUCAAAGAUGUGGACAUUGAAUCAGAUUCUAUGCUCACGUCAAAAUGAUCAACGAGCAGACCAAAGUUCAUUUUCAUAUGAUGCCGAUCAUACACCAAAUCAACAAACUUAAGAGACAAGGUAGUUAUAAGUUUCAACAGUGCUAUAGAGAAGCUAAUAACUUGACAGAUUACUUGGAAAACUUGGGCGAGAGACAAAAACAAAGCUCUUUCUUCACACAAAACUUGACCUUGUCUAAUGGGAUUAAAAACUGGUUGAAGAAUGACAUGGAUGGAAGCCCAAUUUUCAGAAUUCGAGCUCAGAAAAACUCUUUUGACAAUGGUUAAUUUUGUUUAUAUAUUUUGGUUUGGGCAUAUAUUAGUGGAAGCUAUUAGGUUCUCAACUUUAAAGCACAAUCCCAUUUGCUUUGGCAAAGGGACUCUUUUGUACAAGGAUGAACUCUUCAUUUUCCUUAUUUCUCAAGGUGCUUUGAACAAAAUUCCAACACACCACUUUGUAAUUUUAUCUCUAUCAAUAUAUAGAUUAGGCUAAGCCUAAUCCCCACCAAUGAUGGUUUGAAAAAAAAACCCUAUAUACACCGAUAAUUGUAUCGUGACAUACAUCCAUAUAUUAACAAACCAAAAAUAAUUUAAUUUUAGAUGUUAUUAAUUUUUGUUUCUUUUAAGUAGUAUUUUUUAAUUUAUAAGAGUUGAUUUUUUAAUCGCAGUCUAUCAGAAUGAACAAUUGCUUUUUAUUAGGUUCGAAAAAAAUAUUACUUUUUCCUACUACAAUUUUUUUAUGCCAAUUCAUAAGAGGAAAAGAUAAACUCAUUCACAUAAUCGGCGUUUGUAUCGAAUAAUGUUAAUUUUGUGGUUAACUAAUAAAUUGAAGUGAUUGUACAUAUCAACUAAUAAGUAAUAAUUGUGGAUAAAUAAAAAAAGCUUAUAUAAAAAAGAAAAAUAUCAUGUAUCUUUGCUCGAUGAACAUCGAACUCCAGAAUCUUUAUGAGUAACUCGAAUAUUACAUUUGAAAAUUCAUAAAUGUUAUCAUAAAUUUAUCGUGGUAUGCAUCCAUAUAUUAACAAACCACAAAUAAUUUGAUUUCAGAGGCUAUAAUUAACCUUUGUUUCUUUUAAAUAGUAUUUUUCAAUUUAAAAGAAAAUUGACUACUUUAAUCGCAGUUUGUCAGAAUUAACAAUUAUUUUUUAUUAUGUUCGGGAGAAAUACAACCUUUUCCUACUACAAUAUUUUUAUGCCAAUCCGCAGGAGGAAAAGACAAACUUAUUCACAUAAUCGGUGCUUGUAUCGAACCAUGUUAAUUUUAUGGUUAACUAAUAAAUUGAAGUGAUUGUACAUAUCAACUAACAAGUAAUAAUCGUGUAUACUCCACCCUUAACCAGAGGUCGAGGGUUCGACCCUGAGUAUGGAGAAAACUCUGUUGGGAGCGCUGCCACCUUAAUUGGCCCUGCAACGCAUGAUCCGGAUUAGUCGGGGCUCCAAUGCGGGCACCAAAUACCAGAUGAGAAACCAAAAAAAUAAUCGUGUAUAAAUGAAUAAAGCGUACACAAAAAAAGAAAAAUAUCAUGUAUCUUUGCUCGUUCGAUGAACACCGAAUGUUAGAACCUUCCGGGAUAACUCGAAUAUAACAUUUGAAAAUUCAUAAAUGUUAUACUAAUGAAUAAUUUGAUAUUUUAUUAUUAAUCUUCAAUUUGGUUUCAAACAAAGUGGUAAAAUAAAAUAUCAUACGUACUAAUGAUGUAAUAAGCCACGGUCAAUUGCGAUCCAACGUUAUAAUUCAAAUUAAGAAAAACAUAUAUUGUCCAAUUAUGAAUUAUGGUCAUUAAGGAUUCGAUCAGCGCUAACGACACAAACAAAAUAGAGGCGAAAGCGGUUCCAUUCAAAUCGUUUACAAAAAAAGAAAAAACAUAAAUUUAUAGGCUCUCCAAGAAAUUUUAAUUUAUUUUCCUAAAAAGGUGAAACAAAAUAUUUGAAUUUCUAAUAUAAAAACUCUUGGUGUUGAGAGAAAAAAUCACAACUACUUCUUGAUUUCACAAAUAUUGAGUAGUGUUAAUUUAGCCAUGGCAAGAAGGAGCAAGGGUCGAAAAAAGGUUGAAAUAGUGAAAAUGAAAAAUCAAAGUAACAUGCAAGUUACUUUCUCUAAGCGUCCUGUUGGUCUCUUCAAAAAGGCUAAUGAACUUUGUACGCUAUGUGGUGCUGAAAUUGCCAUUGUGGUAUUUUCUCUAGGCAAGGCCAACAAAGUUUACUCCUUUGGCCACCCUUCAGUGGAGUUGUUGGUGGAUAGGUUCCUGGGGAGGGACCUCCCUCCACCAAAUGAUGAUGGCCACAACCACCUAAUCAUGGCUCAUCGAAACAUUGGUCAACGUGGCCUCAAUAAGGAGGUCAUGGACAUGCAGGAGUCUCUCCAGAAGGAGAAAGCUGUAGGACAAUCCCUACUUGAAUUUGGGAGGAGAGCCUAUGAUCGUUGCUGCGAAUCUCCGAUUAUCGAAGGACUUAGCCUCUCCCAACUUCAACAAUUGAAGAAGGCAUUGGAAGUUCAAAAGCGAAAGGUUGAAUUCGAGGCAGAACUACGACAAAUGGCGAGUGAUGCUCUACUCCCAUUGCUCACCUUUGGAAGUGCCUUGUCUCCAUCCAACUAGUGGUGAUGGGGCAAGUUCUUCACGUGGACCCAAUGUUGGUGCACCCUUUGCUAAUUAGGGCUGGUGGAUCUACUUUUUCUGCAGUUCCCUACUAGUUCAACUGUCGUUCCUAAUUCGCACAUUAUGGAACAUAUGAGUAAUAAGCGCGCAUCUAGGUUUAUCGUGUCAUUUGAGUUAUCCUCAGUGUGUGUCUUUUAUAUUUGAGUCGUCCUAUGAUGUUCAUCAUCAAUGUUAUGGUUCAUUCGAACCCUGUAAGUUUAGUUAUUAUGUGUCAUGUUGUCAGUCCAUUGUCGUGUUGAUUUUAUCAUUUGAAUGGUGUUAGUGUGUGUCAUUUGAGUCAUGUUAUUAGUCCAUAAUCGUGUUGAUUUUAUCAUUUGAACGAUGACAGUGUGUCAUUUGAGUCAUCGUAUAAUGUUCUAUCAUUUGAGUCAUCAUAUAAUGUUCUAUCAUCAGUUAUGAUUAGUUAUGAUUCAUUCAAACCCAGUAAUUUUAGUUAUAUAUUAUAUGUUGUUUAGUUUAUUGUUAUGUUGAUUUUAUACUUGAAUGGUGUUGCUCUCUUCUUUAACAACAUAUAUCUAGAUAUUACAAAUCUUCAAAAGAAAAUCGAUGUAUGCCCGUUUGUAUGUUAUCAUAUGUAGUGCUAGGUAUACGGUGGCUACUGGCUACCACUACAACUAGGGGUGUUCAUGGGUCGGUUUGGAUUGGUUAGUGGUUAAAAUCAUAACCAAAAUCAACUUAGUCGGUUUUUUAAUUUCUAAAACCAAACCAAACCAAACCACAAAAACAAAAUAAUCGUUGGUUAGGUUCUUGUCGGUUUGGUUCGGUUUUUCGAUUUUUCCGGUUAUUGAAUAGUCUACUCCAACCAUCUCUAGAAUAAACUCGUUCUUUUAACCCAUAGAAAAGAGUAUCAAAUUGAACAAUUUCUCAUGAAAUAUUUGUACAGUGAUGGACAAAUGAUACUAUAAACUCUUAAAAAUCAGAACAAAUACAUUAAACAAAACCAACAUUGAGAUGAAAAACACUAGCUUGGUAUUGUAGGCACUAAGAUUAUCCAACAACAUACAUGUACAUUAUAAAAUAGAGUUUUGUAUUCUGUUGCAGUGUACUGCAAGAAGAGAUAGAGUUGGGCAAAUUUGAGUAAUCUGUUUACUUUAUAGACUAGCUAGGUGAGCUAAUAAUAUAUGGAAAAGAUUGAAAAAAUAAGGAGACAUAAAACUACCAUUUGAACCAGGGACCAUGGUAACUCGUUUGAAAGAUUCUUUGUUUAUGUAACCGAAGAUGAAGUAGCAUAUGGAUUACAGUUUCAGUCAUUAUUCAUGCCAUCUCUCUUGGGUUAUUCACAAACCAUACAUCAAUAAAAAUUCAGUAACAUUUAAUAAAAUCCCUCUGCACCAUUGCCGGGCUAAAGUUACAUCCCAUGAAACUUUGAGAUUUUACUAUAGUAUAGAAUUAGAUUUAAUCGCAGAAAAUAUCCCACAAAAAAUGAAGAGAAGACUACACUACGAAAGCGAGUGUAAACGAGAUAUAGGGGGUUAAGAAACUAAACAAGAAAAUAUUGCAAUAUCAGACCUAGCCGAGACUCCUUUCAAUGCGGUGCGGUGCUGCUUUUCAAUAAAGAAUAAAAGAAGCAGCAGUUGAUGUACUACGUAUUGUGAAAGUUGAAGUAGAAAAAGUGAGGUAGGAACCGUAGGUUAACUUAUUAGUAAUAGUGGGUAGAGUUGGGUUUGGGUUUGGGGCUUUGGGCAAAUGGGCUAAAGUAUUGGUUGGGCUAGAAAUAGAUUAAAAUUAAAUUUAAUAAAAUAUUUAUAUUUUAUUUAUAAAUUAUAUAUAAAUAAUUAGAAUAUAUAUAUAUAUAUAAAAACUUUAUCGGUUCGGUUUGAUUAUUUUAACGAUUUUUUUAAGUGAAAUCAUAACCAAACCAAAUAGCAUCAGUUUUUUAAAAUUUAAAACCAAACCUAAUUAAACCAAACUAAAUGUCGAUUUUUUUAAUCGGUUGCUUUGGUUCACGGUUCGAUUUGAUUUUUAACCAAACCCAUGAACACCCUUAACUACAAUAAAAAAGAUAUUUAGCGGAAAUAAAUAUUUCCACAAAAAUAUUUAACAACAUUUAAGUUAAGGUCAUUGCAUGUCGUUAACGUCUUUAGUGGCAGUUAUAUCGAGUGCCGAUAAAUGCUUAUACUAUUGGCUUCAAAAGUAAUUACUUUCAAUGUAUUUUUAUUUAGCGGCAAAUUGCUGGUAAAAAUUACUAACAGUAAAUAGGACUUAUUUUAUUGGGUACCACUACAACAAAAAAGAUAUUUAGUGGAAAUAAAUAUUACCGCAAAAAUAUUUAACGACAUGUAGGUUAAGGUCAUUGCAUGUCGUUAACGUCUUUAGAGGCAGUUAUAUCAAGUGCCGGUAAUGCUUAUGUUAUUGGCGCAAAAAAUAAUUACUUUUAACGACUUUUAUUUAGCGGCAAAUUGCUAGUAAAGCUACCGGUAAAUAGGACCUAUUUUAGUGGUCCUAUUAAGGAAAUAUUAUUAAUAAGUAUAUCUUAGAGUGCGGAAUCUAAAUAUGUCACCAUAUUUAAAAAGGAAUCAAUCUAUGUCACCGAUUUAAAAAGUUAAAAAAAUGGAUUGUUUGCACAAAAUAAGUGCACAAUAUCCUUUAUUCUGUCUUGACACCGUUAAAAUAGGAUAGUGCAAUAAAUAAGUGCACCAUCCAUAUUUUAUAUGGAUAGUGCACUAUUCAUUUUUUUAUGGAUAGUGCUCUAUCCAUUUUUUUAAUGAAUAGUGCACUAAAUAAGUGCACUAUCUAUUUAUUUUAUGGAUAGUGCACUAAAAAAGUACACUAUCAAUUAUUUUUGAUAUAUUGCACUUCUUUUGUGCAUUAUUCCCCUUUUUUCUAUAAUUUAGUGCAUUUUUUUAGUGCACUAUUCAUAAAAUAAAUAGAUAGUACAUUGAAAAAAAAGGGCACUAUUAAUUAUUUUGAUAUAUUGCACUUCUUUUGUUAGGUGAAAUUUUACGUAUUUUAUUGUAAGAUGAAAUUUUAAUUUUUUUAUAAUACCAAAUUGCAACAUAACAUACCAUGUAAAAAGUUACGUAUUUGUAUGUCAAUGAAUGGUGUAAUUUUUUGUGAGAUGAAAUUUUACGUAUUUUAUUUUGAGAUGAAAAUUUAAUUUUUUUUAUAACACCAAAUUGCAACAUAAUGUACAAUGUAAAAAAUUACAUAUCUUCUUCAUUAGUUUCAGGAACUAUGUCGAAUUCAUGUUGUGUUGGCUCAACUAAACUGAAUUGGUUUAUACAACAAUAUGUCACUCCAAAAUUUAAUGUUUGGGGCAAAUGUUUUUGAAGGCCUAUCCAUUCGUUAACAAUUGGAUAUACUGGAUAGGUAGAAUCUCAAUGUAGUCUCUGAUUUUAAAGUACUUUCCAAUGCUCCUCUUCAUCUGUUCUUUGAAAGAUAAGAUCAUCUAAUGCAUGAAAAAGUUCUAAUGCUUUUUCCAUUUAUGAUAUUUUCUUAUUCAAGUGUUCAAUAACUUGUGCGUCAUCCCUGAAUUUACAUAUCUGAAAUGUUGCGGACUGUGCCUGUGGAACGGUCAAACUAUGCCAUCAACAUAGAACCUCAUAAUCACACCGUUUAGAAUAUAGUUGAGUUCACUAAAGUAUUUCUCCCCAAAUAAUAAAAUCACCAGCUUUAGAGGAGUAUGUUUCUCCGACAAUGAUGUGUCCAACAAUUUGUAAAUCAUGAUAAAUAAAAAUAGGUUUAUUUUCUAAGGGACGAAUUCGACCAUACCAUUUUUUCCCGGAUAAAUCUGUAUAGCACCCAAAUACUUUUGCAAGAUUUUUUGAAAUUCUCUCAUUUUUUAUUUUUCUAAUAUCAAACCAACUUUUCAUUGAAGUUUGGCGUAAUGCGUUAUUUGUAAUGAGUUGUAAAAUAUUAUCACGAAAUAAAAUACGUAAAAUUUUAUCUCACAAAAAAUUACUCCAUUUAUUAACAUACAAAUACGUAACUUUUUACAUUGUACGUUAUGUUGCAAUUUGGUAUUAUAAAAAAAUUAAAAUUUCAUCUCACAAUAAAAUACGUAAAAUUUCAUCUCACAAAAGAAGUGCAAGUUAUCAAAAUAAUUGAUAGUGCAUUUUUUUAAUGCAUUAUCCAUUUAUUUUAUGAAUAGUGCACUAAAAAAAUACACUAAACUAUAGAAAAAAGGGAAUACUGCACAAAAGAAGUGCAAUAUAUCAAAAUUAAUUGAUAGUGUACUUUUUUAGUGCACUAUCCAUAAAAUAAAUGGAUAGUGCACUUAUUUAGUGCAUUAUUCAUAAAAAAAAAAAUGAAUAGUGCACUAUCCAUAAAAAAUGGCUAGUGCAUUAAAUAAGUGCGCUAUCCUAUUUUAAUCGUGUCAAGAUGGAACAAAAAAUAUAACUUUUUAAAUUAAUGGCAUAGAUUGGUUCAUUUUUAAAUAUGGUGGCAUAUUUAGGUUCCGCACUCUAUAUCUUAGUACUAACCAUGAUAAAUAGCAUUAGUUUGGUGUAUACAUAGAAAAAAUUAACUUGACCAAUGCAAUAUUUUACAGGAAUUCCAAAAAUCUAUGGUAAAAAUGGAAAGUAGUAUACAGUCAGCACUAUGAUUAGUAUAUGGGCUCGUUUGGUAUAAGAGAUCAGAGAUAAUUAAUACUGAGUUUAAUUUUAGGAUCAAUUUAUCCCAUAUUUGAUUGAGAUAAAAUGCAUGAGAUAACUUAUCCCUUAAGGGUGAAAUACCUAAUCUUGAAUAGUUAAUUUCAAGAUAACUUAUUUUCAACCAAACAACAAUAUGCACGUAAGUCACGUAAUCUAAUGAAAAUAUUUACAAAACUUUUCCACUAUUAAACUGCACUUACGAUACAUACUUGGCAUAAUACUGGACCACGCAUAUAAUAGAAAAAAGGCUUAACCAAUAUACACCGAUAGUUUAAAUGAGUACCCUGCUAUUGCGCGUGAAAUAAUAUGCAUACUUGAAUUUUAUUGAUUCAAAUCGCGAGAUGUAAAAGCUUGGGUGAAUGAUUUUAAUUGUUUAAGAAAUUGUUCGAUUUUCUUUUAGGCUUCAAAAUCUAUGGUACAUGUGAAUAAAAAUAGGGGCGGACCUAUGUAGGAUUUUGGGGUGUUCCGACACCCACUAAACUCGAUGCAGAAUAGGUAUAAUUACAUAAAAAAUAUAAGAAAAUAGGUAUAAAACAUAUAAAAACACCCACUAUAACAAAAAGUUGGGUGGGUGCAUUGAUAUUUAAGUUGAUCUUAAGGUGCUUCAUUGGAAGGAGGCCCCGGAUUUGAAGCUCAUUGAGAUGACUCUUUUACUUUUUUCAGUUUUUAAAUUUUUUAAGCACCAAUUAUCCUUAAAUCCUAGAGCUGUCACUGAAUAAAAACUUAUUUUGGGUAUAUAAUUUUCGCUAUUUUUGUUUUUAAAGAAGAAUCUAGAUGCAACAGUAAAAAUUAUCGCCGCGUGAUUAGCUAGGGAGGUCACGGGUUUAAAUAAAUAAAUUCAAGGUAAAAUACACAUAGAUGAUAUCAAAUCCUACUUACUUUACAAAAGCAAAAUAAUGUAAGUCAAGGUAAAGUUACAGGAAGAGGAACUAAAAGGAUUGAAAAUCAUGGAAUAAACUCUGUGGCCAGUUUUCUACCGCUUAGUGCUGAUAGAAGAACGGAGAAUUAGUCUCACGGCUAUCAGCUGUGGAGAUACUUGGAACUACAAAAAAAAAAAAGAGGAUUGAAAAUCCAAAUCCUACCGUACAAAAUAAGAAUAAUUAAAUCCUUCAAAGAAGAAAACAAUUAAAAAAAAAAAUUGGUCAACUUUUUAAGUGUUAGUGGCUUUGUGCCCCGAUUAAUCAUUUUAGGAUAAUCAUUUUUUUUUAUGAGUUUAAGUUUUGUCCACCGUUAGUGCAUAAAAUAUUCUGCAUUAUCAGUUAACUUGACCUGCUAUUGCAGGUUACCUAAUUAUUUACAUAAAAAUUUAAAAAAAAAAUAGAUAACCUGCAAUAGCAAAUUAAUUUACCUGAUAGUGUAAAAUAUUUUGUAAACUGACAAUUCACAAAACCUAAAUUCUUUUUUAAUUGUACCAAAAGCACAUAAUUAUCUUUUGUAAUAUAAAAAAUAAUAAUUUAAUUUUGUUCAGUUAUCACAAAAAAACACUAAAAUACUUUUUAUAACAAAAAUAUAAUUUGAGUCAUCCUAUGAUGUUCAUCAUCUGUUAUGGUUCAUUUGAACCCUAUAAGUUUAGUUAUGUGUCAUGUUGUCAGUCCAUUGUCAUGUUGAUUUUAUCAUUUGCAUGGUGUUAGUGUGUGUUGUUUGAGUUGUCGUUUAAUAUUUUAUUAUCAGUUAUGAUUCAUCUGAACCCAGUAAUUUUAAUUAUAUGUGUUAUGUUAUCUGUCAAUUGUCAUGUUGAUGUUAUCCUUGAAUGGUGUUGCUAUCUUCUUUAACAUUUAACAUGUAUCUGUUAUCCUUGAAUGAUGUUGCUCUCUUCUUUAACAUGUAUCUAGAUAUUACAAAUCUCCAAAGAAAAUCGUUUUAUGCUUGUUUGUAUAUUCUCAUAUAUCGUGCUAGGUAUAUGGUGGCUACUGACUACCAACUACAACAAAAGAGAGAUUUCGCGGCAAUAAAUAUUACUACGAAAAUAUUUAACGGCAUUUAAGUUAAGGUCAUUGCAUUUAGUGUCGUUAAAGUGUUGUGGCAUUUAUAUCGAAUGUUCGGUAAAUGCUUAUAUUAUUGGUGCUAAAAGUAAUUGCUUUCAACGACAUUUAUUUAGCGGCAAAUUAUUGUAGACACCUAAUUUUAUCCCUCCCCGAUAUCGUUUUUAUCCAUUUUUUACUUUAUCCUACUGUGUACCCUCACCAAUGUAAUUAUACCCACAAAAAUACAAAAAUAACAAAAAUUCAAUAAAUCCCUAACCUUAUCCUAACAAACUUUAUCCUAUACCCUACCCCACCUACCUACCCACGUGAAACCCCCUCCCCCUUUUUCUUUCCCAUAACCGAAUGGGUAAAAAUACCCAAUGGACUCACCAGGAAACAAAAAAAAAAACACACACACACACACACAACCCUCUCAAUACAUAUAGAAAACACACUCACAUUCACGAUAGACCCCCAUUUUUCUUUUCAAUUCCAAAGAUCCACACAGAAGCCAUUAGAGAGCUGGUUUUCCUCUCCUUUUCUUGUUCUUCGCACACUCUCACAGCUUGGCUCACUCACAAACCGCUGAACACGACACACAAAGAGAUUGAGAAGGAGAUCGUGAGAGAGAGAAGAGAAACAUAGAGAGAGCUGACAGGAAAAUGACGUGAGAGAUAGAGAAUAUAAACGGAGAGAAAUUAAGGAAAGAAGAACAAAAUCUAGCUGACAUCGAGUUUUUCGACGACUGUUUCGCAGGAAUCAGUUGUUGUUCCUUGGAUUCGGGCAUCGUUGACUCUCUCUCGCCACUAAAAAUCUAACCCAAUGACUAAAACUAGUUGAAAUCGACUUUUGGUUUGAUUCCGUUGUGAUUCGAGUUGACUCCGAUGGGAUUUUGAUACGGGUUUUCCGCGGUUCUUCAUGAUUUCUGUCUGGAUUGGUUUAAUAUUUCUGCUUCGAUUCUAUUUUGGGGUUGAUUCUGGGUUUAAAUCUAUCUGGAUCUUUAUUUCUCAGUAUCGAGUUCAGAGUUUGCUCAUUGUCGAGGUUCUGAAUUUGUAAAGUUCCUCCAUUUGAUUGAAUAAAAGCGACAUUAAGGUCCAUUCUUCAUCUCAUUCUCAAUUAAUUCUUGAUUGUGUGAUACUUUGUGUGGUAAAUUCAUGGUGUGUGAUUUCUAUUUUGUUGAUUUCAAUAUGUCGUGGAUCAUCAGGUUGGUUGUUGAUAUCGAUUGGUUGAUUGUUGUGAACUGAAAUAUCAAAGAACUUGGACUCGAUUUGGGGUUAAACCGUAAUUUGGGGUGGUAUCAAAAGUUGGCUAAUUUGUAAUUUCACUUAGUUUAUUUAAUUUGACAUCUUGUUUGAUUUUGACGUUGUUAAACGUGGCAUUAGCAUGAUAAGUUGAAAGUAAUAGAAAAAGGUAGGUUGGGUAGGCAAAGUUUAGGAUCCGUGAUUGUUAAAUGAUGAAAUGUUUGUGGUAUGGUUUUGAUUUAUGCAUUGGGAUCUAUUGUAUUCAUUUGGUCGGAGAAUGCCCCUAGGAAUUUGUAUUGAUUUAUCCGAGGAAUGCCCCGAGAGAUUUGUAUUGAUUUAUCCGAAGAAUGCCCCGAAGUAUCAUGUACUUGAAGACGGCGCACUAUCAAGGCCCGGAACAUCAGGUGGAGAUAGCAAUGGAGCGUAGUUUAGGAUUAGCCUAGAAUAGAGUAGGUUUAUAUUUUUGAAUUUUUCUAUUUCGGGACUGUAUAAUUGGACUGCACACUAAAUUUUGGAUUAUUUUGUUUUGAAUGCUUGAUUGAUUGUUUUUGCGUGCUUUGUGUGGUUUAUACAUUCGUAGUGUCAAAUUAGCCGAUACGCUCCACCAAGCGACCGUGGUCGAACCACGGGAUCGAGGGGUGCCUAACACGUUCCUCUCGGUCAACAGAAUUCCUUAGCCAGAGUCUCUGUUUGCAAAUCAGUUUUAAAGAGUCAAAUUGUUUUGCAAAGGAUUGUCCAAAGGUGACUUGGCACAUCGGAUUAUGCCAAGUGGCGACUCUGAGUUUUGAAUGGAAACAUAAUCCAUUUUCGAAACAAAUCUUCAUUUUGUCACUUUAAUAAUAAAAACCCUUUCGAACUUUAAAAUGAUAUCUUUUCGGCAUAUGAAAAAGGGGUGUGACAGCUCUGGCGACUCCGCUGGGGAUUUUUCAGAAUUCGAGCUUAUUUUGGAGUUGUAUCGGCUUAGUUUGAUACUAUAGGUGUAUAGACAUUUUGUUUGUGUUGUUUUGUGUUAUUGUUUACCAUUGUUGAGUGUCUACGUGUUCUUUGUUUACAGUUUUUACUUUAUGUGUUACUGUUUUGUAUCUGACAUCAUGUGCAUAACCUGAGUCUUUCUUUCUGCAACAAAUCCGUAGUACACAUGUGUACAUGAUCUAUAGUUGAGUCACCCUUAUUUUAGGAGGGGGAGUCGUUGGGUUGUAUGGAGUAGGUGUACAGCUAAAGCAAUCCACUAUCGACCAUACGCUCCCCCGAACAGCCUUGUUAGUGGACUCCAACGUAGGUCAGCCUUUAGGUCAUGCUUAUCUGCAUCAUAUUGAGACCUAGCGGGACCCACGCGGCCCUUUGUAGGAGACUCACCUCUAAAGCAUCCCUACGUGCUAAAUGUUGCAUCUUUGAGGGUAAUGUGGUCAUUUGACGGACUGAUUUGGGGAAAACAUGUGUUAAAAGUAAAGUGCAUAGGCAAGAAAUGUUGAGAAAAAAAUAGAAAAAAGAAAGUGAAAAGUGAGUCAAAAAGAAAAAAAAGAGAGUUUUGCAGUUUUUAGAGUUCUUUAUGGCUUUUGUUUUCCACGAUUCAAAAAUUCAAAAAAAAAGUUUUUUUUUUACUUUUUGCACCCAUUUUUCAAAAAAAAAAAAACAUCAAAAAGAUUUUCCUUUUGUUUCAUUUAGCAAGCAUUCACAAUACGAAAACUCCAAAAAGAUUUUUUUAAGAGCUUUUUAUAAAAGAAAAAUUCAAAAAAAGGGUGGUAGAAGUUUUGUACAUUUCAUAUAACGAAAGUACCAAAACAAAUUUCUUUCAUAGCUGUUGAUGUCAUUUUUUAUGUGAAGUGUCAAAUUGAAAACUAAAAAAAAAAAAAAGAAUUUUGUUAUGUUGUUCAUCGUGUGUCUUUGGUCGUGUCUCAAGUCAGGGUGCAAUCUGUUAUUUAAUCAUUAAUUGUCCAAUAUGGACGAACUACGCACACGCACCCCUGAUUCUCCUCUCUCGGGAGUGAGAUGCGUAGGCAGCCUAUUGUUGGUUCGGGGAUCUUAUUUGAAAAAAUCCAAAAAGAUUAUUCUUCACUCUUUAUUUAGAGUAAGUGUUUCAUGUACAUCUUUAAAAGAAAACUACAAAAAGAUUUUUCUUUAAUAGGUUCAGGUUUCAUUUUCAUAUUAAAUUUAAAACUGAAAACCCAAAAAAAUUUUCUUUGGUAAUCAUAGAUUUCACUUUGUAUAGGAAUGUUAAAGCUGAAAAAUUCAAAAACAUUUUCAUCAAUUCUUUUGACAAAUUGUUAUUUUCUUUUCUUCUUAAUGUUUUGAGAAAAAAGAAAAAAAAACAAAGAGUUUAAUUGGUCAUUUUGGCAAAACUUCACGAACUACGCACACUUGAUUCUUCUCUUUCGGGAGUGAGAUACGUAGGCGCCCUUCUUGGGUUCGGUGAUCUUUUUUUUUUUUUUUAAAGAAGAGAUUUUGAGAAAGUGUUGAACUCUAACGCAUUUGCUAUCUCUUAUUCAGUUAGUUUGAGGUGGUUGGUUUGUGGCAUUUUAGCUGGUCCUUCAUAUUGCAUCAAGUCACAGAGAAGGUUAUGGCCAACAAGGAUACCGAGUUUGUUCUCACUAAUCAGAUAGGGAGUUCGGGAAGUGAGAAUUUUGGAGAUAAUAAAGAGAUUCGUAAAUUAAGGCAGCAAAUGAUAGAAAUGCAUCGAGCUUGGGCUAAUGGGUUGCCGCCUCCUCCAGUUCCCACUGAUAAUCUGAAAUAUCUUUCUAGCUUGCCUCCCGUGUCAUAUACACAAUUUUCUAUUGUUGUCGAUAUGCCACAACAUGCAUCAGGAUCGACUUCAUGGCAACAAUAUCCAACCACUUCCAAUGUUUAUUUUCUCACUUCCUAAUCCAAGACUACCAUAUACUCGACUCCACCUGUUGAUCAUGCUUUUGCGGCGCCACCCCCACCUGAAGCUCCUACUUUAAUGUUCGUCCAUGAGUUGUGCCUCCCUACUCUACAAGAGAGCCUGCAUUGAAUAUUACUGGCGAUCAACGUUACACUUUCGAGCCUACAUUCAAGUUGACUGGUCUUUACAGUGACACUCACCCGCCUGAAUUUACUCCUAACACUGAGAAACCUGUUAUGACAGAAGAGCAAGAGAAAAUGACCAGAAAAUUGAGAAGUUUGGAACUGGCUAUGAAGAACUUGCAAGUACUUGGGGGUUACAAAAGUGUCUCAUAUAAGGACUUAUGCAUGUUUUCAGGUGUCAACCUUCCUCCUGGCUUUAAAAUUCCAAAGUUUGAGAAGUAUGGCGGACAUGGGGACCCAGUGGCACAUUUGAGGCGCUAUUGUAACCAAUUAAGGGGUGCUGGAGGAAAGGAAGAACUACUCAUGACUUAUUUCGGAGAGUCUUUCAGGCCUACCUUCGGAAUAGUUUGUUGACCAAGACAUUGACAAGUGGAUUAGUUGGGAUGACCUAGCUAAUGAAUUUGUGCAACAAUUUCAAUACAACGUGGAGUUGAUCCCUGACGAAAAAUCCCUAACUAGUAUGAAGAAGAAGAAUACUGAGAUUUUCAGGGAGUAUGCGAUCAGAUGGCGCAAACAAGUUGCUAGAGUGAAACCGCUAAUGAAAGAAAGAAAAAUAGUGGAGGUUUUAUUCAAGCGCAGGAUGAAACAUAUUAUCAACACUUGAUACCUGCAUUGGGCAAGUGAUUUAUUGAGGUCCUUAAAAUGGGGGAGAUGAUAGAAGAGGGAAUUAAGACAGGUCGCAUUGUGAGUUUUGCAAUAUUGAAAGCGACUACUCAAGCAAUUCAAAAGGGUUCAGGAAGUGUUGGGGAGACAAAGAAUGAGGAAGAUGCAUCUGCUAUUGUAGUUGGACAGCGGAAACGGUCAAGAAAACCCCGUCGUCGUCACUCUCAGGCAAAAACCCAAGUUCAUACCCAAACUCCACACAAUCACUCCCAAAAUCCAUUAUACUCUGCUUCUCCACCUCCAUAUCUAGUAUAUAAUGUAUAGCCAUAUGUUCAACCCCCAUCUUACCCACAGUGGAACACACUAAUUCCUCAGAGUCAUCCUCUAACUCCACAAACAUACCAAAACCCUUCUAAGCCUGAUUUUCGAUCUAAGCCAAAUGAUGAAAUGAGGCAGAAGUUAAGAGAUAGCUUCACACCAAUUAGAGAGUCGUAUGCCAGUCUAUUUCAGAGAUUGGUACCAUGGGGCAUGAUCACUCCUCUCCUUGGGUGCACUCUUAAUCGGCGUUCAAGAAAUUUUGAUCCUAAGGUACGAUGUGCGUAUCAUUCUAAUGCUCAGGAUCAUAGUAUUAAAGAUUGUCGAGAUUUAAAAAUAGAAAUUGAAAAGAUUGUUCAAAAUGGAUCAAUUAUGGUGCAGAACAUUGACAGUGAGGGGAACUCUAGUCAUGCUAAUAUGCAAACCAGUGGCUAAGAUGUCCGGUUGAGCAAUUGAGAAGUCACCCCUCUCCCUACUAGGAAGAGGUCUGGUAGUUUGUUUUGUUUUAUUUUUUGUUAUUCGAAUUAUUUCAGGGUUGUAGUUCAGGAUCUAUCUUGUUUUGUCCUUUUGUCAUUUAUAUUCAAACCCUUUUAUCUUUUGUUUCAACUAAAUGAAGUGUCCUAUUUUUCUUUGUGUUUUAAAUAUGUGUUAUUUGUUUGUUUUCUUUACAUAGUACAUUUUAUGUUGACUCUAGUGAUAUGACAUGCUAGGGAAAUUUUCAGCCAGAUCUUAAAAUCCAGUUUAAGCAUGAGCAUUGAAUCAAAGAGUUAAAGUUAAAAAAAGAGAGUAUCUUAGAAAAUAGAUAGAGUGCUGGGGCAUUUGGUGAUCAAGUUGAAGCCUCCUUUAAAAAUUAAGGAAAUUAUUUUGAGAAUUGUGAGAAUAACUUGGUCAGCAUUUGAAAGACAUGUCUCAAUUAGGUCAAAUAGUGGAUGUGUGAUCCUACAUCAAAAGGAAUAAAAAAUUAGCUCCACGAAAGCAUGAGGAAUGUACAACAAAGAUGGAGUUGGCAGAAAAAGUAGCGAUGCACAGUCUUAGUUAAAAUUAGUGCUGUAAAAAUAUCACAAAUGAUCUUCAUCUCUCACUUUCAUAUUGCAUGAUAUGUACUUGCAUUUUCAAGGAUUGAUAUGACGAAGGCAUUUCAUUCUUCUAUCCAAACAUCGUGUCAUCCUUUGUUUACCCCAUUUGAGCUUUAGUCCUAUUUUCUUUCAUACCCCUCUUUUGGAAUCAAGAUACAGUCAGCAAAGCUUAAAAGAAAAGUGUCGAGCAAAACAAUAGAGCCAGAAAGUUUCAAAAAGAAAUGAGAGAAAAAAUGUGUCCAAAAGAAGGAAAAGAAUAGAGCGUCAAGAAAAAAAUAGAGUCAGAAGGUUCCAAAAAGAAAAAAAAUCAAUAAAUGAGUCAACAAAAGAAAAAAAAAAUCAGAAUCAAGCAAAAGAAUAAGCCGCCAGAACUACGUAUGACCUGAUUCUCCUCUUUAGGGGGUGAGAUACGUAGGCUGCCCCACCCGGGGCUUAGUCCAACCAAAUAAACAAUUUAGAGUCACCCAGUCAGAAGAAACUGGGGCAUGAGUUGAUACUCAUUGUUUGAGUCGAUUCUAAAAGUUGUAAGUCCUAUCCCACUCCAAGUGUCGUUUGGGCCUCAUGUCAUCCUUUCUUUCUAACCCUAUUCAAAAGCCAAGUUACAACUAAAGAAAGACCUUCAUAUCAAUCUUUGAGGAUGUUAAGGCUAAGCAUGCAAGGGAUAUGAUGAUGCAAUUUGGGAACUACCUAUCUUCCUCAGCAUAAGGAAUCAAGAGAGAAAUAAAAAUGAGAGUGUCUUAUUAGUGAAAACACUCACAGGCACCAUAAGACGAUGGUAAGUUGAGAGAGAUAAAAAUGAGAGAUUCUUAUUAGCGAAAACCCUCACGGGCACUGAAAGACGACUGCGAGUUGAGAGAAAUGAAAAUAAGAGAGUCUCAUUGGUUAAAAACCCUCACGAACAUCGUAAGACAAUGGUGAGCUGGAAAAAAAAAUGAGAGAGGCUUGUUGGCGAAAACCCUUCAAGGUUUCACUAGACGAAUGAGGUCUUAAAGGCAAUUGACCUAAGGAAACAACUCAGUUUCAAGCCCAGUUAACUCAAUAACAAUGGAUAGAAAGUUUGAAUGGAAAGAUCAAACAGCUUAAUCCAAAAUGCAUGGCAUGAUCAUUAGAGUUGACUGUCAUUUCUAGAUAAAUUUUUUGUUUCUUUGUUUCAAAUGGGGACAUUCAUUGUCUUUUCUUUCUUUUCUUUAUUUUUAUUAUUAUUUUAUUGAGUUAGUUAUCCAAAUAAACAUUGUCAUUUUUUCUCUAGUCUUUGAGUUAAGUCCAUGUCGAAACAAGUGAGAAAAGAUUUCAAAACUGGCUACCAGCUUCUUUAAUUGCACAAAGAAAGACAAAGCUAGCAUAUGAAAGAGACAUGAUUGUGAUCCAAAAAAAGGGCAUGCAGAAGUUUUGUCAACAGAUAAGUCUGGGAACUCAUGGAAAUACCAAAGUUCAAAGGAUUUAUCUGAAGAGCAUGGCAAAUCAAAGAUACUGUGCUUGUUUCAAAGUCACUCUUAAUAAUCUGAGCUUGGGUCAGUGAUGCAUCAAGUCAAUGAUAUAUGUAAUGGUUGGAAACAAGAUUAAUGUGAUGAGGGCAAGGGCAAUCUCCGCGAAAGCUAAAGCCACAAAUCAGCCACCAUAUUUCAAACUCACAAGUUUUCUUUGAUGAAAUAGGAAACAUACUACCUUCAAAGCAAUAACUUCAGAGCAUAAACAUCAAGGGCUGCAAUGCCUCACUUUUACAAAUGCAGAAAGCAACGUUGCUGCAUAAGUUUGAUAAUAAAAUUAUGGUAAAAAUUUAUCAUCCUAUAUCCCUCGGAGACACACUUGUCUAGGAUUUCAAGUUUUCAUUUGAUAGGUGAUAUACUUCUUAAAUUGAACCUUCACUCCUAGGAGACAUACAUUUUAGUCGAGUCAGCUCCUUUGAUUCCUAUAAGACGUACCUUUUAGUCGAGUCAUCCCCCUUGGUUUCUAUAAGACGUACCUUUUAGUCGAUUCAUCCCCCUUGAUUCCUAUAAGACGUACCUUUUAGUUGAGUCAUUUCCCUGAUUCCUAUAAGACGUACCUUUUAGUAGAGUCAUUAUCCUUGAUUCUUAUAAUGAUGUGACUUUCACAAAAGUCCUUUGAUGAUAAACUGGGGCAAAAUUUAAUUCUUGUGUUUGGAACUUCACUUUUCUGGCAAAUGAAAUCUCUUUAUAAUAAUCUUUGUUUGGGAUAAUUUUUUUAUUAGUUUUAAUGUGAUUUUAGGAGCCCGCCUGAAGAGCAGGACGAAUAAAUGAAAAGUCAAGAAACAUGGUGAAGAAGUGGAAAGUCAAGCAACAUGGUGAAAAGAUGAAAGUUAACAGAUUGAUGAAAUAGUAAGUCAGGAGCCCGCCUGAAGAACAGAGUGAUGAAAUUGUUAGUCAGGAGCCCGCCUGAUGAACAGGGUAAUGAAAUUGCAAGACAGGAGCCCGCCUGAAGAAUAGGAUAAUGAAAUGGCAAGUCAGGAGCCCGCCCGAACCACAGGGCAAAUAAAUGGAAAGUUAAGCAACAAGGUGAAGCAAUUGAAGACCAAGCAACAAGUGAUGAAAUUGCAAGUCAGGAGCCCGCCUGAAGAAUAGGGUGAUGAAACCUAAGUCAGGAACCCAACGGAAGCUGUAUAGAUAGGAUUUUGUAAUUUCAUUUAUAUUUUAACUUGUAAUUUUCAUUUUGAUGUAAUGAUAGAGCCGCGGAACAGAACCUCGAUGGAACCUCACUCGACUCUCCAACUCGGUAUAGUCCAUUUCCUUAUAAUCCUUUGAGACACCGUCACUUGAUUCCUCUAUAACUUGGGUGGGUAGGACGGCUUAAGUCAGAACUUGGUUGUUCUUCUUUUUUCUGUUUCUUCCUUUGAGUAAUGGUCAGGACAAAAUUCUGUCUUGUUGUCUACUUCUUUGUCAGAAAACACUUUGUGUUCAGAUUCAAAGGGGGCAUGAUGUAGACACCUAAUUUCGUCCCUUCCCGUUAUCGUUUUUACCCAUUUUUUACUUUAUCCUAUCGUGUACCCUCACCCAUGUAAUUAUACCCCACAAAAAUACAAAAAUAACAAAAAUUCAAUAAAUCCCUAACCUUAUCCUAACAAACAUUAUCCUAUACCCUACCACACAUACCUACCCGCGUGAAACCCUCCUCCCCCUUUUUCUUUCCCAUAACCGAAUGGGUAAACAUACCCAAGGAACUCACCAGGAAACAAAAAAAACACAACCCUCUCAAUACAUAUAGAAAACACACUCUCAUUCACGAUAAACCCCCAUUUUUCUUUUCAAUUCCAAAGAUCCACACAUAAGUCAUUAGAGAGUUGGUUUUCCUUUUUUUUUCUUGUUCAUCGCACACUCUCACAGCUUGGCUUACUCACAAACUACUGAACAUGACACACAGAGAGAUUGAGAGGGAGAUCAUGAGGGAGAGAAAAGAAACAGAGAGAGAGCUGACAGAAAAAUGACGUAAGAGAUAGAGAACAUAAACGGAGAGAAAUUAAGGAAAGAAGAACAAAAUCUAGCUGACGUCGAGUUUUUUGAUGAUUGUUUUGCCAAAAUCAGUCAUUGUUCCUUGGAUUCGAGCAUCGUUGACCCGUAUUGCAUCUCUCUCGCCGCUAAAAAUCUAACCCGACGACUGAAACUAGUUGAAAUAGAUAUUUGGUUUGGUUCCAUUGAGAUUCGAGUUGACUCCGAUAGGAUUUCGAUACGGGUUUUCCUCGGUUGUUCAUGAUUUCUAUCUCGAUUGGUUUAAUAUUUCUGCGUCGAUUUUGUUUUGGGGUUGAUUCUGGGUUUAAAUCUAUCCGGAUCUUUAUUUAUCGGUAUCGAGUUCGGAGUUUAUUCAUUGUCGAGGUUCCGAAUUCGUAAAGUUCCUCCAUUUGAUUGAAUAAAAGCGACAUUAAGGUCCAUUCUUCAUCUCAUUCUCAAUUAAUUCUUGAUUGUGUGAUACUUUAUGUGGUAAAUUCAUGGUGUGUGGAUUCUAUUUUGUUGAUUUUGAUAUGUCGUGGAUCAUCAUGGUUGGUUGUUGAUAUCGAUCGGUUGAUUGUUGUGAAUUGAAAUAAUCAAAGAACAUGAACUCGAUUUGGGGUUAAACCAUAAUUCGGGGUGGUAUCGAAUGUUGGCUAAUUUGCAAUUUCACUUAGUUUAUUUAAUUUGACAUCUUGUUUGAUUUUGACGUUGUUAAAUGUGGUAGUAGCAUGAUAAGUCGAAAGUAAUAGGAAAAGGUAGGUUGGGUAGGCAAAGUUUAGGAUCCGUGAUUGUUGAAUGAUGAAAUGUUUGUGGUAUGGUUUUGAUUUAUGCAUUGAGAUCUAUUGUAUUCAUUUGGUCGGGGAAUGCCCCGAGGGAUUCGUAUUGAUUUAGCCGGGGAAUGCCCCGAAGUAUCAUGUACUUGAAGAUGGUGCACUAUCAAGGCCCGGAACAUCAGGUGGAGAUAGCAAUGGAGCAUAGUUUAGGAUUAGCCUAGAAUAGAGUAGGUUUAUAUUUUUGGAUUUUUCUAUUUCGGGACUGUAUAAUUGGACUGCACACUAAAUUUUGGAUUAUUUUGUUUUGAUUGCUUGAUUGAUUGUUUUUGCGUGCUUUGUGUGAUUUAUACAUUCGUAGUGUCAAAUUAGCUGAUAUGCUCCACCUAGCGACCAUGGUCAAACCACGGGAUCGAGAGGUGCCUAACACUUUCCCCUCGGUCAUCAAAUUCCUUAGCCGGAGUCUCUGUUCACAAACCAGUUUUAAAGAGUCAAAUUAUUUUGAAAAGGAUUGUCCAAAGGUGACUUGGCACACCGAAUUAUGCCAAGUGGCGACUCUGAGUUUUGAAUGUAAACAUAAUCCUUUUUCGGAACAAAUUUUUAUUUUGUCACUUUAAAAAUAAAAAUCCUUUUGAACCUUAAAAUGAUAUCUUUUUGGAGUACGAAAAAAGGGUGUGACAAUUAUUGAUAAAGCUACCAUAUUUUGUGGGUUUUCUUAUUACCGAUAAAUAGGACCUAUUUUAGUGGAAAGUAUUAUAAUGAUUAAAGUUAACCACGAAUUCACAUCACUUCAUAUACUGAAUAAGCCACAUUGCAGAAGAUAACAUACCGAAUAUAAAUGUAAUAUUUGUAUUUGUAUAAUUUAUCAUUUUAUAAAUAUUAGUGUUCGUAGAAAGAAAAAUAAAAAAUUUUUUAUAAUUGAUUAAAAAUACAAAUGAUCAUGUCAACUACAAAUUCAAAUACAAACAAAUGAAAUAAAUUAAAUUACAAACAAAAAUACAAUAUGUUGUCAACUUACAAAUAUAAAUACAAAACAGUUCUUUAAAAGUACAAGUGCAUCGAUAAAAAUAAUAUACAAAUACAAAUAAAAUGAAACCACAAAAUGUAAAUACAAUGUCCAGUCAAUUAUAAAAUACAAAUACAAAAUAAUUCUUUCAAAUACAAAUGUGAAUUGUAUAAAAUAUAAAUACGAACUAGCAAAUACAAAUACAAGUGUGAACUAUAACAUGCAAAUAUAAGUGCGAAUUAUGAAAUACAAAUACUAAUGCGAACUAUAAUAUAUAUACAAAAACAAGCAUGAACUAUAAAAUACAAAUACAAAUAUUGCAUCAACGAAUACAAAAUAUAAAUGAUGAUGUGAAUAAAAAUAUGAUAAGUAAUUAUCAUAUUUUUGUUAUUAUUGAUGACUUGUAAUCGAGUAGCCAAAAACAUUAAAAUAGAAAAAAAAAUCCAAAAAGAAAAUCAAAGAGGAAAAAAGAACAAAAAAAAAAACAAAGAAAAAAAAAAGAUAGCGACAAAAAUAAAAAAAAAAAAAAAGAAAAAAAAAAAAAAAAAAAAAAAGGAAAAAACAUAAAUAUAAAAGAAAAGAAGACAAAAAGAAAAAUAUGAAAAAUAAAAAAAUACAAAAAAUUAAAGAAAGAGUCGGAAAAAAAAGAAAAUAAAAAUAGAAAAAAAAUCAAAAAAGAGAAAAAAUAAAAUAAAAAAUAAUGAUAAAUAUAAAUAUAAUGCACAGUUAUGAUGUUUUCGUAACCAUUCAUGGCUUGUAUUCGAUGUAGUCAUAUUUUGUAAAAAUAAAAAAAUAUAAAAUAUAAAAUGUGACUAAUAUAUUUAUAUUUUUUAUGAAUACAAUUAUUAAGUAAAAAUAAAUACAAUGAAUGUGAAUCGAAUAUAUAGACUAAAAAUGAUAAUCUAUAAUAUAUUAAAAGUGUGAAGGCCAAGUGAAUUGAACUUUUUGCCCUUCAUUAAUCCUCCUCUUAAGAUAAAAUCGUCUUUUUACCUUUUUUAAAAAUUAUUAUUUAAUUUUUUUUUAAAUAUGAAUUAUAAUAUUAACUCCUAAAAUAUAAUGAGUUAGGAAGAAUUUUGAUCGAUUAAAAACUCUUAAAAUUACCAAUUUAAAGUUGAUUAUUUUUGGCAAAGUAUAAACAACAAUAGGAGUACGUUAGCUACUUUUGACAAAGUAGAAUUUUGAUCAAUUAAGAACUUAAAUUUGCUUAUUUAAAUUUGGCUAUUGUUGGCAAAGUAUAAACAAUAAUAGGACUACCUGUACGUGAAUUAAUUUUUGGCAAAGUAAACUGUAUUAUAUAAGGAGUCCUUGCUUUUUAGUUUUUAUUUUUCCUUCAAAGUAGGAGUUCUAACUAAUGUGAAUUAUUAUUUAUGGCAAAGUACACAGUAUAAGGAAUCCCAGAUUUUUAAUUUUUAUUUCAUCAUCGACAUUCAAAUCGCCAACGAAGGAUUCCAAAUCAAGAAGGGUUUCUGCCUAUUUCAAACAUAAACUAAAGCAUGAAUCUUACCAAAAAAAAACGAGAGAUACAAGUAUUUACCAAUGAGUUGCCACCCACCUCCACCAUAGCAACUCGAGUAAACCAACAACUUUCUACUGAUCUAUAGAGUACAUCUAUCUAAAAGUAAAUCAGAUCAAGCAUUUGUAUAUUCAGAAUCAAACCACAACAGAAGAAGUUUCUUUGAAAAGUGCUUUGUGAUGUUGUUCUGGUAAUGAUCUAGGGAAGGUCUUUAGAGUUCAAUGACUAUUUUCAACUUCUUUAUGGCUAGAAAACGGUGCAAGCAUUACUACAUGCAAUACAAAUACAUUAAAUAUUAACAGGUGAUCUUGUCAACAAAAUCAUUUUUAUAAAGAACGCAGAGAAUUUUAUAAAUAAAAACCUGAAAUAUAAUUCAUCAAAUUCAGUGUAAUUUUUUUUAUUAUUAUGAAUGUUGUUGUUGUUACUAUGUAAACAUGGGCUUGUACUAAAAUAGAAUUUUAUUAUAUAUGUACAUUCAACUUAUCCUAAAUAACUAAGCGAAUCCACCUUUUAUGAUUAAAGUUGCAUCAGUCAUGGAUAGGGAGAAGUCAAGGAAUUGCUAAUUCGGUGAUCCAACAAGUACUUUUUUAACAACACCAACGUCAUUAAACAUUCAUUAAGAAGCAUAUGCCAACCAACAAGUUACCUUAUCAAAAAAAAAAGUAUAUGCCAACCAACUAAAAAGUCUGACGAAACCACCUCUCUAGGUUGCAUACACACACACUCCUCAGACCCUAUUUGUGGGAUCUCACUGGGUAUGUUGUUGUCGUUGUUUCAAAACAACCAUCCUCAGACCUUUUAUAAUCUGAGUGUGGGAAAGAACAACCUUCCAUGCAUUCAAGCCAUGGUAACGCUCAUUUAAUCAAUUGAUUAAGGAGCUAAAUUGUGAUUGUGGUGUUUUGAUUAUUUACCGCAAAACUAGACACAAAUUAAUAUAAUUAAAGUAUUUCAUGAUAGUAUAUAUUAUUUAAAGAAAAAUUAUUUUUUUUUUAUGAUUUAAUUCUUAGUUUGAUAUAAUGUGAUUUUAAGCUUUAAUUGAUAAUAUUAGUUAUGUACCCUUGGUUUUAUUGGUUUCUAGGAUCUAUAUUUCAUGUUAGAUUUGAUUUUGUUUUAAGCUCCUAUGACUUUCAGUUUUUAUCGCAACAAUAGCAACAACAGAGGCGGAGGCUACUAUUAAGGUUAGGAAGAAAAAGGGUAUAAGUAGGAAGGAGAGGCUAGCGGCUAGGUUGUUGGGGGAGAAACAAGAGGAUGAAGAGAAGUUUCUAGAAAGUGAUGAUGAAGAAUGUCUUUUUCUUCAUUGGGAGUGUGGAUUCGUGCAAAGUUUGCUACUUUUAAUCUUUGAUACUAUUAAAAGGAACAUGAUCGACUACUUAGAAUUAUAUUGCUCGAAUUCUUUAAAAACAUGUUGAUGGUUGUGUAUCGCAUCUUUCGAAAGUAGUGUAAGUUAGAGAAUCUGACACGAUUGCGAUAACAUAUUUGUAGAAUUCAAGCAACAUUACUUGGAGGAUUUUUUGAAUAGACGAAUAUUGAUUUUAAUUAUAUGUUGUGUAAAGUCUUCGAAGCGGUACAAAUACUUCUCAAGCAACAUGUAGAAUUUUUUAAGUGACUUUUUACAUGCGUAACAAUACAGUUAUAUCUUGAAAUAUAAGCAGUUUGAUCUGAAUUUAUUUAAGUAGCUAGCAUCAGUAAGAGAAGCAUAAUUUUCAAUCUUUUGCUGGUGAUGAAGUUAUGUCCUUUAUGGAGCUAACAGAAAUGCAACAACUGAUUUCUUAUUAUAUACUAGUGACACUGAUCAUAAGUGUUUAUUGAAAUUACAUUAUAAAUGAUAUAAUUAAUAUUGUAACUAUCAACAUAAUCUAUUUUAUAAUUCAACUUUUCAAAUAAUCCAGUAAAGGUUUUAUAAUAAUGAUAAGGGACGCACAUUAUAAUAAUAAUAAUAAUAAUAAUAAUAAUAAUAAUAAUAAUAAUAAUAAUAAUAAUAAUAAUAAUAAUAAUAAUAAUAAUAAUAAUAAUAAUAAUAAUAAUAAUAAUAAUAAUAAUAAUAAUAAUAAUAAUAAUAAUUAAUCUAUAAUAUAUUAAAAGUGUGAAAACUUUUAGAAAAGUGAUUUGAACUUUUUGCCCUUCACUAAAAGACUCCACAAUAGAUAAAACAAUCAUUUACCAUAUUACUAAAUUAUUAUUUAAUUAUUUUGAAAUAUUUCAGGUGUCCCAUUAAAAUUUGGUUAUUAAUCUUAACUUAUUUACACAUAAUUAAAAAUACUAUUAAUUUUCAAGGUUAUUAAUCUUUUCUUAUUUAAACAUAAUUAAAAAUAUUAUUAAUUUUCAAAUAUUAAUUUACAUUUGAGGAACUGAUAAUAAAUUAAUCUUUUACAUAAAAAGAUGUAACCAAAUAUGAACUUUAAUACUAACAAAAUACUAUUUUAGUAGUUAUUUGUUGACUGAAUUUUUCGGUCCCUUUUUAACAAUCAUUUCACAAAAAUGGAUAGGUUAUUUUGGCAAGAACUUUACUUAAAAUAGAAAACAAAUUAAGUAAACUCUUUUUUUUAAUGUUAGCAUCCAAGUAAUUGUAUGAUUUUUUUAUCUCUUUACUUUUCUAUUUAAUUUAUAUUUUCUUUGCACUUUGAAAUUCUUUUUAUCAGCUAUUAGUUAUUCGUUGCUUUUAAAUGUUGGUGCUUUGUGGUAUUUUGAGAUUCUAUCAAUUUUUGAGAUUUUAUCAUAAUUUAUAUUUGAUAGUUGUCGACCUCACUCGGAAAAAUGUGGGUAGGAUGAAAAUUUCAAUUCAAAUUUUAAGCUUCAAAAGAACGCAGAUAAUUGAGGUACAAAUUCUAUUAAUUUAAUUAACAUACGAUUUAUUAUUUUGAAAGUUAGAUGAUCUAUCUAAAUUUAUUAUUUAGGAGGAAAUUAUUCUUGCAAUAUUUUUUUUUUGAUUGAUCAUAUGUGGGCUAAUUGAUUUGUCACAAAGAAAUUGAGGUUAACACUUUUAAUAUGCAUUUUGAUGUUGUCGUAAGUGUAUCAUUAAAUAUUUACAUCUAAUUAUGUACGUUCUUUGAUUAAAGAUAUAUACAAUAUUGAUUUUGAGUAAUUGAAGAAAGUAAAAGGUUUGUCCAUGUACGAUCAUUAGCUUUAGCAAGGUAAAGAAGUGAUGUUGGACAAGAUCGAAAGAUAAUAAUAAAUUCUUACAAAAUGUUUUUUUAUUCGUGCUUUCUUAAUUUUCUGACUUUUUUUCUCCCUUUCUGUUAUAUUUUAUAUUAUGAAUAUUAGUCUCAACCCUAAAUUGGAUCAUAGUGUACUAAUAAUAUUUAUGUUUUAAUUUUAUAUGACGUAACAUCUUCCUUAAUUUUGAAUAAUAAUCAUUCUUCCUCCUUUAUCCUAUUUGAUUUUUUAAAAUACCUAUUUUAUCCUUAUAUCUAUAUCAACAUUUGUUUCUCUUUUUAUUUUUAAAAAAAAACUUUUUUAAUUUUUUUUAAUCUAUAUAACAUAUUUUCGAUAAAAGUUUAAAAUUAUUUUUAAGAUAAAAAAAUAAUAGUGAAAAAUAUUAAUUGAGUAUAUAAUUUAAUGACAAACUAUAAUGAAAUAAAUGAGCAAAAUAGUAAAAAUUAAUUUUAUUAAAAUUCAAAACUCUAAUAUAUAUUUAUACGUGAAAAUAAUAGGUAAUUAUAAUUUUAUAAAUAUAUUUAUAUGUAAAAAUAAUAGGUAAUUAAAAUUUAAUUUGGCCGAUUUUUUAUCUUAAAUUAUGGUUUAAGAUAUCUAAUGUUUUUAUCUUAAAUAUCCAUGUGACUAUAAUAAAAAAACUUUUAUUAAAUCUUAUCAAAGUUUAAUAAAAUCAAACUUAUGUGUACACAUAUUAACCCCAAAAAUGCAGCAUUAGAAUCAAUCGUAGCAUCUUGCCAAGGUGAGGCGGGGAAGAAGAAAGUGGUAUCUUUUGAAUUUUAUUAUAUAUAUAUUAGUGGCAUCUUUUUUUAAAUAAUUUUUUACGUGACUGUGGUGUGACACGAGUGUGAUGCACCUUCUCUGUGAGAGUGAUUUUAUAUUUUUGAGGUGAUAUUUAAUUAAUUUACUAUAAAAUUAUUAAAAGGAUAAAUAAUUACCAGUUAAAUUAAAGGACUAAAGUAAAUUGAUAUGAUAAGGUUAUGAUCAUUUUCAUGUCUUUUCUCUAUAUGAUAUAAAAAAUUAAUUUAUUUUUGAUGUCAAAAUUUUUAAUGACAAAUUUAGUUCGGUAGUGCUUUUAUAAUAGAAAAUUUCUAAGUUGAGUAUAUUAUUAGUACAAAACAAAAAUUGAAAGACUUUACUAUAGUUAGGACGGAGCCAGGAUUUCAAAAAAGGGGGUUUCAUAUUCAAAGAAAACUUAGGAUUUCAAUUAAGUGGGUUUCAUAUUCAAAGAAAACUUAGCCGAAGAGAGUUCAACACCUACUAUAAUCACAUAAAAAAUAAUUUUAAUCAUUUAUAAAUAAUAUAUUUUUUCGUCGAAGAAGGUUCGAUAGAAUCCGAAUAAAAGGCCGGCUUCGCCCCGGACUAUAGUUUCUCAUAAUUGAAUGGACCGGAGAAAGUAGUUCAAAAGAUUGAUAGUGAUGACACUUGAAGAAUCAUAGAUUAUUGUUAUCCUAGGUAUGAAAUGCUUUUCAUAAAGAUAAAGUCCGACAUUUUAGAAAAAAUUAAUAAUAUGCUUUGCAUAAGAUAGAGAUGGAAUUAUAAAGAAAUCAAGUUCUUAUAUACAGACAUACUUUUAAAAUACAGUAAAAUCUUUUUAUAGUGAUAACGUUUAUCUGAAAAUAUUAUGGCUGCUAUAGAGAGGUGUUGUUACACUAUAUAUUUAUUGAUAUUUGACGUUCAAGUUUCAUUUAACAAAAGUAUGCAAAAUUAGAAAGAUCAUAAAUAAAAAAAGUCAAACAUUAGUAGCAUUUUCCUUGUAAAGUUAUGAAAUACUAAUAUGCACCAUUUAAAUUGAGUAAUUUUUAAAAAAAUUAGAUAUUCAUACUUAAAAUUUAUUGUAUGUGUAACAUUAAUAAUUAUUACCAUAAAUAUUUUGGUAUUUAUUUUAUAAUAUGGAGUAAUAUAUUUCUUACAAAAUAUUAUUACAUAAUAUUUGAGUAUGUUAUUAUAGAGAGAUAAUUUUAUAAAGAGAGAAGUAAAAUAUAAUAUAAAAAAUUGAUUUUAAGAAAAUCAAGUUGCUAGAGUGUAAUGUCAUUAUAAUGAGGUGACGUUAUAGAGAAGUACUACUAUGUAUAUAUAUAUUUUAGUAAAAUUGGCACCAAAUUAGGUGUUUUUAACGCAAAAAAAUAGGGAACAAUGCAAACCAAUCUGGGAAGGUCGAUUUUUUUUGCCAAAAAAUGAAUUUGAAGAGUAUUGUAACGAUCUAAGUUUUUAACUUGGCUUAAGUCAUCGAUAGGCCCUCAAACUUAUCCCGAAAAUUCACUUAGACCCUUCAACUAAGGUUUGUACCUAUCAGGCCCCUACCCCCGAAUUUUGAUCCAAUUGGACCUUUUUUGCCUACAUGGCACAUCGCGUGCUGCGUAACCGUGGGAGGCGCGGGAGGAGUGAAAAACCAAUCAGUCCAUGUGGCAAAAGUUAACGUUAAAUAACGUUACUUUUGUCAUCCCCUUCACUUUCCCUCUUUAUUUAACCUAAUUUCUUUUUUUUUUCUUUCAUUCUCUCCUCCAUAGCUCAUUUCUCUCUCAAUUUCUCUCAUCUCACUAUCAAAUUUAUCUCAUAAUUUCUCUUAAAUCAUUUUUUCUCUCAUUUUCGAUGAGAAUGUCGAAAAAUUUCGUUAAUGUUGAGGUUCCCGAUUUGUGUUAUUGUACCGAAUUUUGUCCUUUAAGAACUUCAAGGACUCCAUCAAAUACGGGUCAUAGAUUUUUUGGAUGUAAAGUUCCAAAGGUUUGUAUCAUUUUCACAGAUCUUAAUUUUAUUUUUUGGUGAUUUUUUGAUUAUUCUACUGUUUUUGCAUUUUAGGAAAAUAGUGGAUAUUGGGCAUUUUAAAUGGAUUGAUCAAAAACCUUCAAUUUCUGUGCAUCAAUAUUCUGAGGUAGUCGAGCUUAAUGAUUAGGUGCAAAGUUAGUGAAAAUUUGUGUGAUCGAUUGAAGCAAAAGCUCAAAGACGUUGAACAAGAGAGGGACACUUUGUGUGAGAAAUUGAAAGUAGUGAAGAGAAGUUGAUUGCAUUGAGGCAAAAACUCAAAAAAGUUAAACUUGAAAGGAAAUGUGCUAAACUCAAAUUGAAUAGAAUUAUUCUACUUCUUCUCAUUGUUCUUACUGUAAAGUGGUUCUUUAAUAUGGUGUAAGGUAGUAGUUAAGUUUGCCUAUUGAAUAGGCAAUUGGAUAUUGUAAUGGUUAGUUUGUAAUGGAUUUGUAAUAGUUAUUAGUUGUAGUUGUUUGGUUAGUUUAGUUUGUAAUGGUUAAUUUGUAGUAGUUGUUUGGUUAGAUUGUAUCAUUUUGACAUGUUGAAUGUGAAUGAAUUGUCAUGUUUUGUAUGACAAUCACAUUGUCAAUUACAUUGUGUCUAGUUUUGCAGCUACUGAAGGUAUAAUCAUAUAGCCUAUUUGUAACUACUGAAGGUAUUGAUAAAAAUGAACUAUAUUAGAAACAGCACAUCAUAUUAAAAUUGUUCAAGAUUGAGCUAAAAAGUGCAAGAAACAGUAUAUCAUAUUAAAACAGCUCAAAGUUGAUCUAAAAACUGCAUACAUCAGUAAACAAGGUGUUCGAAAAAAGCUCAACAUUGAGCAUAAUAGUUCUACUGUAGCAUACACCAAAGUCAUUAACUGCUACCUAAGAAAAGCUGUCCAAAAACUAGUAACACAAUUUGUUCAAAGUCAUUAACCCUCAUUACAGUACAAAUCAUUUCUAAAUGAACUACUUCUUAAAAGAUCCAACUGAUGAAGAAGACUUGGCUGCAUCCACUUUUUUCGCUUAUUUGCUUUCAUUUGUUGCUAUUGUGUGCUGGUGACUGCAUCUUUUCCAUUCCACUUUAGGCCACUAGGCUUAAAACUAAUAUCUAUAUUGAUUGGUGAAGCACUCUUUAAAUUUAUACCUCCAUAAAGAACCCUCUCACUUGAUGUACCAGGCUACAAAAUUAGGCAAAAUUGUAAGACAAUGAACAUUGAAAAGUUGAAUGAAAACAUUAUUAUAGGUAAAUAAUGAGACAGAGAAAACUACAUUGUACACUUGGGUUCCAGCUGCUGGAUCAGAGUAAACACCAAAACCAGUUGUAGGCCUUUUGUAUCCAGUAGCAACAACAAAUGAGGUAGCAUUGUAUGCCUCUUGUUGGUUGGCAAAGGUGGAACUUGACUGGAAAAAGCAUUUCUUCCACUUUCAAAUGUGGUCCCUCUCGCAUUGACUAUUUUUCUUGUCAAUCCUCCACCAAUCCCUCCUUGACCCCUACCAGAACCACCUCUCGUAUCAGCACUACAUUGACCCCUAUCAGAACCACCUCCCCUAUCAAUAUCACACUGAUCCCUACUAGAACCACCUUUACCUCUACCAGCAGCACCUUUACCUCUACCAGUAGCACCAUGACCUCUACCAGCCACACUUGACACCUUUCUUUAAGGUGCUCUUGGCACAACAGUUAUGUCAGCACAAAUAGAUCCUGAUUGACUGAAUUGUGUAGUUGCAUAUGUAUGAAAGGUGAAGCUUGACUGUGAAUAAAUGCAACACAAUAUUUUUAGCAAUUUAUAAUAAUAAUAAUAAUAAGGAGAAGAAUAUUAAGGCGGCAGAACAUAUAUAACUUACUCUUGUUGUCUGACUUUGAAUGUAGGUAUCUCUUGGCAUUGCACUGGUAUCACCAUAAAAAUAGAACUUGAUUAUGGUGGUGGUGGAUUCCAUGAGACUGUAGGCUGAGAGCUAGGUUGAAAAUUAUUACUUCUCCCAAUCCCAUUCUAACAGACAGACAGAAAUAUGAAAAAGUUAAGAAAUAUGUUAACUUUACAAACUAUUAUGAAAUUCAUUUAAGGCUUACCCUUUUUGCACGCAUAGUCUUGUUAUGGUCAACUUGCUUGCACCUUGAACAGGUCAUCUUGAUACCUUUUUUUAGAGUUAGCCUCAUUUUUUUGGCUCAUCCUUGUUCUUCCUUCUGUUCUUGCCAGGUUUGCCUGGCAUCUUUCUUGAUUUUGGAGGCUUAAUUGACGGGUUUGUGGUUUUCGACCACAUUUUCAUAUUGGUAAUUGGUUGAAUGAAAUGACUAUAAGACUUAAGAAAGGUUUCUUUCCAAUACCAGUGCUCUACAUGUUGAUCAGGAUCUUCAUUCAAGUAAUAAUAAGCACAAAUUGCAUGAAUACAAGGAAUACCUCUUAACAUCCAUAACCUACAAUCACAAUACUUUUAGACCAAGUGAACAACAAAUGUGUAACCCCCAUCCCCAAUUUCAAAACCAUUAACUCCAUUCCAUAGUACUCUACACCUAUUUGAAUUAUCCUUGUUAUCUUCUAAAAUAGUUCUUGUCAUAGGUGCAAUGUCUGAAAUUCAUGUUUCUGAAAAUCUGAUCAUAUCUACAUGCCUAUUCAUGAUUUUAUGCCUGAUAUCCUCUAACAUUGUGAUUAUGGAUUUAUGUCUAGCAGCUAAAAUUCAAGAAUUAAAAGUCUUACAUAUGUUAUUUUCUAUAAUAUCUCUCUAAACUUUACUUCAAAGCUUGCUUUUGCACAUCUCCAAAACUGUUUCCUUCUUUCUUCUCUUCUCCAGUGCACAUGCCAAUUGCUCUAAAUAUGUCUAGCACACAUUCUUCUCUCAGUAUUUGGUAAUAAAUUCAUCAAAAUAGGAACAAGGUCCUGUAAUAAGUAUAAGUAUGAUUAAAACAGAAAUUUUAUUGAAAAAUAAAGUUAAGUAAUAAGAAAAAUAAUUAAGUAGUGGAACCUUUUGUUGGUCUGACAUUACAGUCAAGCCUUCACCAGUUCUCAGAUUUAAAUCAGCAAUCAGAUACCUUAUGAACCAUUCCCAGCUAUGUUUUGUUUCAGUAUCUAUAACUGCCCAUGCAAUAGAAUACAUUUGGUUGUUCCCAUUUAUCCCUACAGCAACCAACAACUCACCCUUACAAGCUCCUUUGAGAAAGCAUCUAUCAAAACCAAUAAUUUUCCUACACCCAUCUAACCAUCCUUGCUUGAAGGCAUGCAAGCACACAUAGAAAUAAACAAACAGGUUCUUCCCUGGUUCAGUUUCUUUGUCAAUUUUUAUUCAACAAGAACUUCCAGGAUUUGUUUUCUUGAUCAUAUCUGCAUAGUCACAUAAUCUGGCAAAUUUCAGCUUUCAAUCACCCAUAUUCUCCCUCAUAACAAUCUGUUUAUCCCUAUAACAAAUAGUUUUACCUACAUAAAGACCCAACACCUCUCUUACCAAAUCCUGAAUUUCCCGAAUCCUAAUGUAUGGCUGAGAAACAAUUUUGUCCUUGAACUUUCUAGCAACCAGCUUUGAAUCACACAUUGUGUUAUUAUUUAGAGGAAUACACUUAUGAAUAGGGUUAUAGUUCUAAACAAUAAAAUCACCUGAAUCCCUAUCAGUAGAAGCAAGCAGCAACCAGUUGUAAUUAGCUGCAAUACACUUCACCCUUAUUCUAUGUUUCUCAUUAGGUUUUAAUUUCAACUGUCUUCUAUACUCUACAGCAUAAUCUGCAACAACUUUUCUAAACUAUUUUGCACCCUCAAAAAUUAUUCCAAGCUCAAACACAGCAAACUCACAAUUUUCAUCAUACCUAAUUUUUUUGCUGCUCCUUCUUCUAGGUAGAUCUACUCCUCUAACAGCAUCUACAUCUAUCUCUUCACUAUCUUCACUCCAACAGUCAUAACUAUGAAGAUAUUCCUCAUCUCCACCCAAAUUUUCAGCAUAUUUGGUAGCCUUAUUUUUUCCAAUAUCUCUAAAGCCUCUAUCUACACAACCAGCAACUCCCACAGGUACUUCUUCAGUUUCAACAACCUUUUUUCUUGUUUUUUGCUUUCUUUCUUUAUUGUUGGCUUUGUUAUUGACUUUGUUUUUCCUUUUUUCUUGUCUAAAAGCCCUCAACUCCUCAUCAACAUCCAAGCCAUCUUCUGAAGGAAUAUCUCCAAGAUCUGAAUCACUACUCAAGUAAUCUGAUAACUCACUUUCUAUAUUAACAUCUUCUACAUGGAUAUCUUCUACAUCAGCCUCAUCACCUCCUUCUACACAAAUAUCUUCUAGGUUAACAUCUUUUACAUGGAUAUCUUCUACAUCAGCCUCAUCACCUCCUUAUACACCAAUAUCAUCUAGGUUAACAUCUUAUACACGAGUGAUGUGCUAGAUUUUUGUAGCAUAUUUAAGACUUUUUAACUUGAAAUAAUUGUAAGUUCUUAAGUAAUUAUUGGUGUUUUGAUGUUAUUUCUUAAGAUUUUGUAGGAAAGUCAAGAUGCAUGGAAAUAAAUAACAAUGGAGCAAAAGAGCUGAAAUUUGAGAAAAAAGAGCUGAAAACAUGGAUGACGACAACUGUGAUAUGUCACCAGCCUUGUGAUAGGCUAUCAACAUUGACGUCAGCCUUAACCAGGGAGUUGCAGUCUGAGAAGCAGUUUUAACGACGUUGGUGAUGUGGCGUCAAAGUUGUGAUAAGGCAUCAAUAAGGGCGUCAGCCUUAAGCAGAGAAUUAGCAAAAAGAGAAGACAUCUGACGACGACAGUGAAACGCCGUCAGAUCCGUGAUACGGCGUCAGCAACAUUGUCAGCUUUAGACAGAACUUGAAGACAACUGGAGCUAAUCUGACGCCAUCCGUGCUAAGGCGUCAGACCCUUGACGUGGCGUCAGCUAGGGUGUCACCUAAUCCGAUAAUUUUAUUUAUUUUGUUAUUUUAUUUCCAUAAUUAAGUUUAGGUAUAAAUAGAAGUUUUGAGGGUUUUAUUCAGGAUCUCUCUCAAUCUUAUUUUUGGAACUUGGGAGGAACGUACAUUGCCUCAUCUUUUUCAUCAAGUAUUUUUCUUGUUUUCCCUUCAACACUUAUCAACUAUUGUGGAUUAUUCUCUUGUGAAGAAAUAAUUGUUGUUUUCAUCCAUUCGUAAGUUUAUCCAUACUAUCAUGAAUUUAACUUUUUUUUUCAUUUAUCAAAUUAUGAGCGGCUAAUUCCAUUAGCCCGAGUUAUGGGAUCCAUGGAUUAGGGUUUGAUAUGCUGCUAGGUACUUAAAGGGUUCAAAGAGUAGUAGGACGUCUUGAAAUUCUGUUGUUUUAACUUACAAUCUAUUGGUUGAAAACAAUAGGCUAUGCCUUAGGUUUAUUUGCUUUAACAGAGAAACAGACUAGAGGACGUGAAUUAUCAACAGGGACUCGGAAGCUACCAACCUUCUGUUUAAUGAUUAAUGUUGUAACUGGAUUAAUCUACCUGAGAUAACAUCCUAUUGGAAAUAGAUAAGUUAUCUAAGUUCGAGAGAAUUAGAUAAUAAAUUGUCUGGUGAGGUCGAGAGAUAAGUCAGAUAGUAUAGUCGUCAGGGAUAUUUUGCUGUUCCUACUUACUCCAAGAAUCUCAAGCAUUACCUAGUAUCUGUCAAUUCCCGAAACCCACAGUGAACAUAACUCUGAUUUUCCAUUUAUAUUGAUUACAAACAUUAAUACUAAAACCCCAUUUUAUAUUUUUGUAUCAUUUGUUUGAAUUUAACUUGUAGUUAUAAUUUCAAACUAGUUUAAUCGCCACUCACAUUGUUCCCUGUGAAUUCAACCCCAACUCCAAAGUUGGGUAAAUAUAUUGACGACGACUGCCUUACACUAAUUUGAGGUGUAAGUUGAGCAUUAUCAACGAGCCUCCCUCUCUUUACCUAAGUUAACAUUCUCUAACUCAACAUCUUCUAGGUUAAAAUCUUCUAGAUCAGCCUCUCUCUUCCUCUACUCCAACAGAUUCUCUCUCUAUGUUAGCACUAUCAGCAAUACCAACACUUUCUCUUUCUAGGUCCUCACCCUCAAUAACAUCAGGUGCAGGUAAAAAACCAGUGGGACCAUCAGGGUUAAGAAUUGGUUCAUCUAAAACAUGAUAGACAUAAAAAUCAAUAGAGUCCUCAUGUUUUAAGUCUUUAACUAGUUCAAGGAGAUAUCGGUCAGUUUUCACCUAAGUUGAAUUGUUUAGUUAUUGCAUCUUGAUAAUAAUAACCCCUAACAGUUUUAUACCCCAAUUCUUUAGUAUAAAAUAACAAUUUCAGUAUGAAAAAGUGGUCUUUGUCAAUGUACCUUAGUUAUGUCACACAACUUCCAACAUAUAUAGGGACACCCGUAUUGGAAAAGGCUCCCCCAUGGUGAAAUCUUGUGAAAAUUAUCUCCAUUUUUUAUGUCAGCUGCAACAAAGGAAAAAAAAUCAAAGUUAGUUAAUGGAAUAUACCCAAAGUACACACCAACAAACUAAAAUCUACAAUCUUUAAUGCAUGUUAAGAAAGUGACGAAAUAUUUCCAAAAGCACAGUCCUAACAGUAAAAUAUCAAAACCCUAAAAACUAAAUUAUGCUAAAAUUCAACAAUUUAACAAAUAUAAAUCAUAAUAACACUUACACGAGGAAGAUAUGAGCAAAACCCCUAAAUUUCUUCUUCAAUUUAAGUGGAAUUUUUGUUAAAUUAGGGUUAAAUUGGGGUUAUUCAAAGAGGGAGAGAAAUUAACGUCGGGGAGAGAGAAAGAUUUUCAUCCAAAUGAAUUUUUUGCCAUUUAAAUAUAUUAAAGUAUAUGUGGAUAUAUUUAAUACACGUGGAGAGGUUUAAGUGGAAUAGCUUUCCACAUCAGUGGCGUUUGGAGACAUGUGCAUGGAGCUGAUGAGAAGAGGAGGAAAAAAGGCCCAAUUGAAUCAAAAUUCAGGGGGUUAAGGGUCUGAUAGGUACAAGCCUUAGUUAAGUGGUUUAAGUGAAUUUUCGAAAUAAUUUUAAGGGUCUGUAGAUGACUUAAGCCAUUUUAUAAUUCCAAUCAGUAUCAUGCAGGAUUCCACCCGUAUAUCUGUGCAUCUAAUGAAGUGUUUUGCUUGCGUUGUUGGUUUCCAAGUAUGUAAUUGUUUUGAGGCCUUAUGGAUGUGUCCUGGAGGAUGUUGUGUGCUCUGAUGGAUGCCAUAUUCUGUCUACUUGGCUGUAUAAUCUGUUCAUGUUAGAACAUAAUAGUAUAAAUAGUAUAACUAUCAAAGCCUAUGCUAUGUAGAAUGAUGAACCUAUAUUUAAUGACUUGUUCGUGUCGUCAAGUAUAGGUUGUUGCGUUAUGCUUAUAUGCUUAUAUGCAUAUCAUGAUGCUACGUUAUGCUUAUAUGCUUAUAUGCAUAUCAUGAUGCUAACUUUUAACCAUAAAAUUGUUUGUUUUUAUUAUUUUUUAAGUAUUUGGCUGACAUUGGCAGCAAUAAUUGAGUCAUAACACAUUUGAUUCAGGAAAAAAUAUCUAAUUUUAUCUAGAUGGAUUAAUGGUCCUUCUUUAUAUAUCAGUGGGCCGAAAAGGACCCAAAAAUAAGAAUGGGCCUACCAGCUAAUUAUUAUUGGGCUAAACUAUCUAAAGAAAUAAAAAUACAAAGUGUUUAUGUGGGAUAUACAGCAUCAGUAAUAGCCGUAACUCCAACACCACCACCACCACCACACCACCCAUAAGUUGGAGGGGGCGCGAACACCCAAAUUGAACAAGAGUGGAUAAUGAACCAGCCCAGUAAGUGGCUUGGUAAAGAUGUCGGCAAGUUGAGAGCCUGUAUGAACAUACAAAAGAUCAAUAAGUCCAUCACUCUACUUAUUGCGAGUAAAGUGGCAAUCCACCUCAAUAUGUUUGGUUUGCUCAUGAAAGACAGGGUUACGAGCAAUGUGAAUGGUAGCCUGAUUGUCACAAAAUACCGGAAUAGGAGUGGAAAUAGAAAUACUCAAAUCAGCCAACAAAAGGACCAACCAAACUAACUCAGCAACAACCUUACUAAUGGACCGGUAUUCAGCCACCGCAGAAGAAAGGGUGACAGCAUGUUGUUUCUUAGCCUUCCAAGUAAGAAGAAAACCACUAACAGAACACAAAAUCCAGUGACAGAUCUAUGAGUGUCGGGACAGGCUGCGCAGUCAUUGUCACAGUAAGCAUUGAAAGAAAAGUCAGCUGAUUUAGGAAAAAAAUAUACCCAUAGUAGAGGUGCCUUUCAAAUAACGUAGCAAGUGAAGGGCAGCUUGCAUCUGGAGAAAUUGACUUAAAUGCUGGACAACAAAAGACAAGUCAGGCUGAGUAUGAGUGAGAAAGUUGAGCUUCCCCACCAAACUUCGAUAAGAUUCAGGAUUAGGGAGUGGAGAACCCAUGUUAGCCUUUAAUUUAACGGAUAAGUCCAGGGGGCAAGUAAUAGGGGAAACCACAUGACAACCAAAAUCAGUAAGCAAGUUAGUGAUGAACUUCUUCUGAUGCAACAACAAACCAGCAUCGGAAGAAAAUACUUCAAUCCCCAAGAAAUAAUUAAGAACAACCAAAUCCUUGAUGUGAAACUGGGAGUUCAAAAAGGCAGAAAUGCCAUCCAAAUCAUCACCAGAAACAAUAAUAUCAUCAACAUAAACAGCAAGCAACACAAUGGAGGCGUUGGACCUCUUAAUAAACAAGGAAUGAUCAUUAGGAGAAUGAGAAUAACCUCGGGAGUAAAAAGCUUGCAAAAGUUUAAUAUACCAUUGGCACGAUGCUUGGCGUAACCCAUAAAGGGAUUUCUGCAAGCGGCAAACCAAAGGGGAAGAACUAGUGGGAUAGUCAACAAUUAAGCCAGGGGGAAAUCGCAUAUAGACCUUCUCCUCUAAAUCACUAUGUAAAAAGACGUUAUUGACGUCGAGUUGAAAUAAAGGCUAACCCUUCUUGAGAGCCACAGCAACAAGACAUUUAACAGUAGAAAACUUGAUAACAGAGGAGAAUGUUUCAUUAAAAUCAACACCUUCAAUUUGAGUAUCACCCCUAACAACCAACCGAGCCUUAUAACAUUCAACCGACCCAUCAGCUUUGUACUAAGUUUUAUAAACUUAUUUACAACCAAUAGGCUUCUUGCCAACAGGUAAAGGAAUAAUAGACCAAGUGUUAUUGGCUUAAAGAGCCUCAAAUUCCUUGUUCAUGGCGUCCUGCCAAGCCGGAAUGCAGGCAGCGUGCUUGUAAGACUGUGCAAGAGAAGUGCAAGGACUAGAGCAAGUGGAAAGUAAACCGAAGCCACAUAGGGAGGAGAGAAGGUCACAAACAUAAUGCUGAGGAUGGGCAGAGGGGGCAUGAUAUCUAUUGGAUUUCCUUAGAGGUACAGAAGUAAGAGUUUCAAAGGGUAGAACUGGAGAAGAAAAAGUUGGUGCAGAUGAUGAUGGAAUAGAAACUUGUAGAGGAUCAUGGGGAGGAAAAGAAAUUAGGAAAGACAAAGGGCAUGGCUGAAGCAGCAAAAGGAAAGGAGAAUUCAUAAAAUACCACAUCUCUAGAAAUGAAAGUGAGGUAAGUUUGGGGAUUGUAUAGUUUAUACCCUUUCUUUGCUAAUGGAUACCCAAUAAAAAUACAAGGAUCAACUAUAGGUUGAAACUUAUCCCUAUUACACCUAGUUAUAGUAGACAAACAUAAACAACCAAAGAAUUUUAAGUGGGAAUAAGAAUGGAUGUGGCCAUGCAAAAGUUCAUAGGGUGUUUUAUGGUUCAAAAGUUUGGAGGGAAACCUAUUAAUGAGAUAGGUAGCAGUUAGGACACAGUCACCCCAAAAUUUUAAAGGCAACUUAGAUUGAAACAAUAAAGCUCUUGAAGUUUCAAGUAGGUGUCUUUGUUUUCUUUCCACAAUACUAUUUUUUUGGGGUGUGUGAGGACAUGAGGUUUGAUGAAUAAUUCCAUUAUCAAUGAAAAACUGAGUGGCGGAAAUACUAUAGCCUAGCUCAAGAUCAUUAUCACUUCUGACAGUUUGGAUGAAAGAGUAAAACUGAGUCCUAACCAUGGAUAUAAAGGCUUUGAAUAAAUAAAAAACAUUACUCUUGGAUCCUAAGGAGUGAGUCCAAGUAGCUCUAGUAUAGUCAUCUACUAUAGUCAAAAAACACUUGCAAUUGGAAUAAGUGGGAGUACUGUAAGGACCUCAUGUGUCUAUGUGGAUGAGUUGACAAGGGUGAGUAGUCUUAAUUGAGCUAUCAGGAAAGGAAAGUCUGGACUGUCUAGCUAAAGGGCAAACAUGACAAAGGAAAGGCUGUUUGGGAGAGAAUUUAUAGGGAAUGGAAGUAAAUAUCCUUCAUCUUGACAAAAGGCAUAUGUCCCAAUUGAUUGUGCCACAAAACUUUCAUUUUAUUUAACAAGGAUGAUGUAUUACAAUUAGAAUCAACAGAACUAUUGAAAGUACAAUCAUUAAAGGAAACAUCAGCAACAAUAUUGUCACUAGAAGUAGAAAAAUGAGGAGACACAUCAGGAAGAGUACUGGAUUACUUGACACUAAGGGAGAAGACUUGAUGGAAGAAGACUGCAUAAUCUUGUAAAGGCCAUGCUCCAAUUUACCAAUUACCACUGCCCUCUUCAGUGAAGGGGCCUGUAUAAUGUAAGAAAUUUUGAUUAAAAACACAAUGCAAUUGAGAUGAGAAAUAAGCUUUGAAAUCGACACAAGAUUAUAUUGAAAACUGGGUAUAAAGAGGACAUGAUGUAGAGUGAAAGAAAGAAAAUGGAUGGAUCCAGUACAAGUCACUUUCACCCUAUUUCCAUUACGAAGAGUGACUAGAUAAGGUGUGACUAAAGGUUGAAUAUUGAAUAAUAGAUCUUUAUUGGAGGUCAUGUGAUCAGUGGCACCAGAAUCUAAAAUUCAAAUGCUUUUAUCUACUUGACUAAUCACGCAAGUACCAGAGGAGAUAGAGUCUUCAGAAACAUAAAUAAGAGGCAUACCAUUAAAACCAAUAUAAUCCAUUAGGCUAGAGUGAUUUUCUGAAAGAUUGAACCCUUGCAGUAGACUGACAACUUGACUGCGCUGCUCCUUGGAUAAGCUGGCAAGGGAUAAAUCAUCCGGGAUGUCAGAAACUUGGUCUGAAGAAUGACCAUUCUCAGGAAUAGAAUUAUGACCAUCAGUAGAUGCAGCCAAUCUUUUUCCUUUAUAAUUUGGAUUGGGAGACCUAAAAGGCCUAGAAUCACCAGGAUAACCAAAUAAUCUAUGACAUUUCUCAAUCACAUUUCCACUUCUUUUGCAAUACUUGCAAAAUAGGUUGGACCUAUCUUGGUCAAAGUUGAUACUUAGAUUAUAAGGUUUGUUUGGAGAGGUAUUGGAAAACCUUUUAGGAGGGGCAUUGAAGGAGUUGGGGUUGUGAAAGGGAUAAACAUUUUGGGACUUAUUAAGAGGUACAGAUGUAUCAGGCCUUUUGUUUAAGGAGGCAUGAAAAGAAGUAGAUUCAUUGGGAAAUUGGAUAGGAACAACAACUUGUCUCGACCUCUCAUCCUGAAACAGGAUGUUGUAGGCAGAGUCAAGGGAUAGGAAAGGUUGUACCAUGAGAAGGUUACUCCUAACUCCAACAUAGGCGUCAUUUAAACCUAUAAGGAAUUGAUAAACUUUAUUUUCCUCCUCCUCCUAUUGAAAACCAGCCUUAGCAGCACAAGUACAAGUAUUAAUAUGGUUUGUGGAAAUAAAUGGAAGUUCAUCCCAUAAACGUUUAAGUUUGUUAAAAUAGGACGUAAUAUCCAAAAAUCCCUGACUAGUCGAGGCUAAUUCCUUCUUAAGUUCAAACAUCUUAGUUCCACUAACCAUGCCAUACCUCUUAUUCAACUGAAUCCAAAUACUCUCAGCCAUUUCAGAGUAUUGUAUGCUUUCGGCUUUGUAAUGGGAUAAAGAACUGGUCAACUAAGAUAUGACCAUGUUAUUGCACCUAUCCCAAAGUCUAGCACGAGAUGUGCCUUCAGCAGGUAGAGCAUUUGAAUCGUCUAUAAACCCUAUUUUGUUUCUAGCAGUCAAGGAAACAAUCAUAUUCCUCCGCCAACCCCCAAAGCCAGUUCCCAAAAAAGGUACACUAACCAAAGAGAUUUCAGGAACAUCAGAUGAAGAAAGAUAUAAGGGAUCAGAGUAAUCAAUAGUCGCAGAAGAAGUUGUUGAAUUUACCAUGAUAAUAGGCAACAAAAGAAAAGCACAGAUUGGAUAGUGAUAAGGGAAGGAUACCCUCCGUUUUGCAACCAAAAACGGUAACGGCCUUGGUGUAAAAAUCAAAAAACAGCUACAAAUUCAGCUAGAUAGCUACGACCUCAGUUUUUCAGCAAAAAAAAUAAACCAACUGCACUGUGAAGACAAUAUUUCUGCAAAAGAAGAAUCUGCGUAACUGAAAAAUACACAUCGGAAAUACAAUUCCGGCAAAAAGGAAAUCUCCGUCGAUCGAAACAAAAAAUGCAGCACGAAAACACAGAAGGGUACCAUCGGAGGAUGCAAAAUCAACCGAAGAUUAUGGAUCUUCUCUCUGAUACUAUAUAAAACUAGUGUGAUCAUCAGGAAUCAAACAAAUAUAGUGAACUCUACAGAGAAGGUUUGAGAGAGAAAUGAAGGAAACCUUUUGAUUCAGGAAAAAAUAUCUAAUCUUCUCUACAAGGAUCGAUCGCCCUUCUUUAUACAUCAGUGGGCCAAAAAGGACCCAAAAGUAAGAAUGGGCCUACCAGCUAAUUAUUAUUGGGCUAAACUAUCUAAAGAGAUAAAAAUACACACUGUUUAUGUGGGAUAUACAGCAUCAGUAACAGCAGUAACUCCAACAGUUUGUACGUACGCUAGUAUGUCAAUUGUAAUUUUGCUAAUUUGUUGAUUUGAUUGAAUGUCCAGAUUAGUGGAUCACUUGCUAGGAAGGCAAUAAGAGAUUUGAUGGCAAAAGGUUCGAUCAGGAUGGUAUCUGCUCAUGCUAGCCAGCAGAUUUACACUAGAGCUACCAACACGUAAUAUGCAUUAAUUCAUUUGCUUAUAGAGCUCUUGCAGGGCCUUCUUGUUUUAGACAUGUCUAAGCUUAAUUUGGAAGGUAUCAUGACAAUAUGGAUUUCGGCUAUUUUGAGCAAUGGUUUUGAUCGCAUUUACUAUGUUUUACAUGAGUUGGCUAUUUAUUCGAGUCAUAUAUAUCUACUUAUCUUAGAUGUUGAAACUGGAUGUCCUUCACUUAGAUGUCUCCAGAAUUUCAUGAGUUUCUGAGUGAUGAAAUGGUUUAGUAGAAGAAUUUUUCAUCUAAAUGACCGCUGUUGAGUUGAUUUUAUUGUUUAUUCUUGGAAAGUUCAAAGGUGAGGGGUGUAGAGCUUCGUGCCAACUAUCUCACCAAGUGGUGUGGAAAGGGUAAAUCUGUUUGGUAUCUGAUCAAUUCUACAUCUGUAGAUGCUGAUCGAUCUUCUUCAUUUUUUGACUAAAAAUGUAGUGGUAGAUGUUAGGUGGUGUAUGAAGGGAUUGCUUGGUUUAGGAAUUCACCGCAUUCUCGAAGAAAAUUACAGUUGAACACAAGGAAACGUACUUCUACAUGUGGAAGACAUGUCCCUCCCCUUCUGUCUCUUUUAUCCCCAAUUCACCUUUCCACCCAAUUUUCUUCAUUGUUUCGUAAUAAGUCCAAGUUCUGUCUCUCAAAUUAUCUUUACCAGCAGUAAAAACAAAGAUCUUGGAGCAUUUCAAUUUCGACAGUAUCUUCGGAUGAGCUGCCAGAUUGAAUCUUGGAUCAUCAAUCCCAUUAGUUUUCGGGCAUAAAUACGUCCAUAAUCCAUCAGGCUUACCAUUACCAAAAUAUGGAUCCAAUAGUGCCAUCCCAACUAGUGACAGGACAAAAUGACUUUCCUCACUUGCACGAACCAUGAUGUUGUUAGCAAUAUUAGCUCCAGCACUAUCACCAGCUAAGAAAACACGUGAAAAAUUGAUAUGUUGUUUCAGCCAGGGCUCUUAAAAAUCUUUCCCUCGUGCAUCCCAAUUCAUUACAUCCCAUGAAUCAUCGUAAUAUGCUAGAAUUGGAUGCACUGGGGCUAGUCUGUAAUUAAUUGACACGACCAAUACAUUAGCCUGAGCUGUUAGCUUGUGGAGGUAACUAUCAUACCUGGGAGAAAAUGUUGAUUCUAUGCAAAAACCUCCCCCGUGGAUGUAAAAAAAAAGAGGAAAUUUUUUAUUUUUUCGACUGAUUUUGGACAGGUAAAGUCGUGCUGAUACGUUUUUUUAGGCAAAAUUGUAACGUCUUUGGAUUGAACUUCUGUUUUGUGAUUGUUUGAUGGAGGGACAAACUUGAUCUCUUCAUACCUAUGAACAG
rnacentral:lncRNA from 1 species